rnacentral:lncRNA from 1 species
UAGUAUUAGCUAGUGAUGAUGAAGAAAAUAGAGCUUAUUUUUGUCUCUGUCUCAGCUAUAGGACAUAUUGUAUCAACUGUGGAGUUUGCUAAGCUUCUUGUUGGUAGAGAUGACCGCUUCUCAGUCACUCUGCUCAUCAUGAAGCUACCUCUUGAGGACUCUGCGGCAACCAACUAUAUCCAUUCAGUUUCUGCUUCUGUUUCCGGGUCCAUUCGAUUUGUCCACCUUCCUGAACUCGACUCAGAUUCAUCAUCGUCAUCCACUAAUGUCUUAUUCUCUAAUAUCAUUGAAAGGCAGAAGCCUCUGGUGAGGGAUGCAAUCCACCAGCUCACUCGGUCUGAGUCGGGUCGACUCGCUGGGAUUGUGGUCGAUUUGCUUUGCACUUCCAUGAUAGAUGUAGCUAAUGAAUUGGGUGUUCCUUCCUAUGUGUACUUCGCCUCCAGUGCGGCCUGCCUUGCUCUCAUGUUUCAUCUUCAAACCCUCAAGGACCACCAGGGCGUGGAUGUUACUGAGUUUGCUAACUCGGAUGCUGAGUUGGUGGUCCCGGGUUUUGUCAACCCGGUUCCUGCUCGAGUCUUGCCUGCUGUGGCGGUGGACAAGGAGGGUGGCGGAUCCAUGGAUUUCCUCGACCUGGCAAGGGGCUUUAGAGAGGCCAAGGGUAUUUUGGUAAAUACGUUUGUGGAGCUAGAAUCUCAUGUGAUUAACUCCUUUGUCGAUGGUACAACUCCUCCCAUUUACAAAGUAGGGCCAUUAUUGAACUUACAACAUGCCAACAACCAAAAACCAGAUAGUGACUUGGACGUCAUCCGAUGGCUUGAUGAUCAGCCCACAUCAUCUGUGGUGUUUUUAUGUUUUGGUAGCGCUGGAGCAUUCCACAUGGAUCAAAUCAACGAGAUUGCAAUUGGGCUCGAGAAUAGUGGGCAUCGUUUCUUGUGGACACUCCGACGACCUCCACCAAAAGAUAAGAUGGCAAUAUCUAGUGAUUAUGUAAAUUUCGAGGAAGUAUUACCUGAAGGGUUCUUAGAUCGUACAUCUAAAAUUGGGAAGAUAAUUGGAUGGGCACCACAAACGGCUAUUUUAGCUCACUCUGCAGUAGGAGGGUUUAUAUCUCAUUGUGGGUGGAAUUCUACAUUAGAAAGCAUAUGGUAUGGUGUCCCAGUAGCCACAUGGCCUAUGUAUGCAGAACAACAAUUGAAUGCGUUUCAAAUAGUUAGAGAGUUAGAAAUGGGGGUAGAGAUUAGAUUUGAUUAUAACAUGGAUACUAGUAAUCUUGUAAGUGCUCAAGAAAUUGAGAGUAGAAUAAGAAGUCUAAUGGAUGAUAGCAGCAACAUUAGAAUGAAAAGGACAAAAAUGAAAGAGAAGUGCAUGAAGGCCUUGACAGAAGGUGGAUCUUCAGACUGUAGCAUACAACGUCUAAUUGGAGACAUCAUAACUAAUAUCUCAUGAAGCGCAAAUUAUAGCAAUGUAUUAUCAAAAAAAGGUUCUAAGUCCUUAAAAAUGUUUGUUUCAAUUGCUUUUAAUAAUGUAAUGGUUGAGUGUCAUAGAAAAAUUGAUUAAAAAAUUAAGUUGGAAAAAAUGUAUUGUCUACUUAUUUUAAAUAAAAAUAAAAAUGGCAUAUGUUACAUCUUGUGUGACAUCUUUAUUUUAAUAUUAGAUGAUGUAUCAAAUCCAAAUUGUAUGGGAAUAUAAAAGGGUUUUAGGCUUUCUCAUCUUAUAUGUCUUGUUCUUGUAAGCCCUCAUACGAAAUGAUCACAUCCCAUUGCCAUUUCCAUUCAAUUUGGUGUUUAAUUUUGUUGUUAUUAAUUGUAAGAGGUUAGUUUUACAAAUCUUCCUCAUAUUUGAUUAUAAAUAUUUGAAUUUUCAAUACCUAACCUUGUCUCAUGUUAUUUGGGAGUGGUUAUUAAAGGAUUAAAGUAACUUUGUCAAAGUUGUGGUUGUGAAAUGAUAAAAUUUUGGUUUUAGUAAUAUAAUUUUUUAGACUUAGGUAUUUGGUAAAUUAACUUAAUAAGUUAAAAUAACUUGAUAACUUAAUUUAAGUUAUUAAGUAAAUUAAGUAUGUUUGGUAAAAUAAAGAUUUAAAGUAAAAAACAACUUUAAGCAAUAAGGAAAAUAAUUAACUUAUUUUUAAGUAUCCUCAUUUGACAUUUUUAUCCCCAUUUACAUUAAUUAUCUCCACAAUCUCUUUUGCUACUUCACGAUCUUCAUUGUUACUCGACCUCAUUUUCCCUAAUUAUAAUUUAUGAGAAUAAAUAUAUUAAUUUAAUUAUUUGAAAUAAAUUUUACAACCUUAAUACUUAAAGUAAUAAUUAAGUAAUAAAUUUUAAAUCAACAACAUAAGUAUAAUUUAACUUAAAGUCAACUUAAGCGACUAAGUAAUAAGUAUUAAGUUUUACCAAACAUUCCCUUAGGUGGUGUUUGUAUUUUUUUUUUACUUAGUUAUAAAUAGAAUUUAAAACUAAAUAGCGUUUAAUAAUGUUAAGUAUUAAGUUAUUUGUUUUUAUAAUAUUUUAUUUCUAUUAAGUAUAUAAAAAUAAAGAAAAAUCAAUAUAUUAUUUUUUCUAUAAAAAAUUAAAGAUUUUGAUUAUUUUUUACUCAACAAAAAAUUUAUAAUAAGUUAUAAAAAAUAGAAAAAUAACUCUCUUAGUUUAUAUUAAUUUCUUCUUUAACUUAAAUGAUUUUAAUUUUUUUGUAGUUUUUUUAGUGACUUUUUUAAAAAAGACACAAAAAUGGACUUUUUUGUGCUUAAGCUUUUCAAAUUAAUAUAUAUUUUUAUUAUUUUGUAUUUCAUAUUAAUAUAAUUAAAAAUAAAAAAAUUGUUAAAAUAUCCAAUGUGUAUAAAAGGAAAUGAAUCAUGGGUAGAAACAAAUGGAAUCAUGCUAAAUUAUAAAUAAAUAAGAUAUUUUUGUUAUAUUGUAUUUUUUUAUUUUAUUGAUCACCAUUUUUUUAAAUGAGAUCGUGAACUACAUUUUAGUAUCAUAGAAUGGCCCAAAAAGAAUAUGACACAUGGCAUAAUAAAUAGACAAAUGCAUUACAUGUGAGGCUGGUCCCAAAGGUGAUGGGGGUUGGAGAGAAUAGGAGUUGCACGUGGCACCCAAAUACCAUAUUCCCAAAAUCAGAAAAUAAAUUCGCGAAUUGAGGGAAACCCUAGGAGAGAGAGGAGAAAGGAGAGAAUGGGGAAGAAGAAGAAGAGAGCAGCUAAGGUGUUCUGCUACUACUAUGAGAGGGAGUUCGAGGAUGAGAAGAUUCUUCUUCAGCACCAGAAGGCCAAGCACUUCAAGUGCCAUGUUUGCAACAAGAAGCUCUCCACUGCCUUUAGCAUGGCCAUCCACAUCCUCCAGGUCCACAAGGAGACCGUCUCCAAGUACUAUUGCUUGUCAUUUGCAUUUUUUUUUUAAGACAAUUUCCAUUCAUGUGUUGGAUUGUUGGAAUUUAUAUAGGUGAAUUGAAAUUAAGAUUUUUUUUUUCUCAUAAGACAUGUUGUUUCUUAAUAGACAUAACUUGUUUUAAAUGAUGUAUUUUGUAUUUAAAAGACACAUCCUCUUCCAAAUGAUUUGUUUAAUGUCUUCAGAGACAACUAUAAACCCUCUAAUUUGUUCUCUUAGCACAUGUGACACUAGGUGUCUUCUCAUACUUCUCUUUUGACUCAUAGUCAUCCCUUAGUGGCCCAUCGACAAUUAUAUAGUUUCAUUUUCUAAGCCACCUUUAGGAACUCUUUGCUAAGGGACUCAUUUAGACCCACAUUGUGACCUUGGCCACCCUUCAUCCUUAGGUUAGAUCCUACUUAGGUUCACCUAGGCCCUCUUAGAUUUACUAAAGCCCACCUUGACACACCUUGACCCAUUUUGGUCACUUUUCGGUAAUUCCUGCAUGACUUACAUAAUUUGCAUGAUUUGCAUUUUUAACGCUCGCAUAUACUUGAUUUUCUUAUUUAUUAAUUUUUCUAUUUAUUUAUUUCUAUUUAGUAUUAUUGGUGUAGGGAUUUGUUUAUCUUUCUUUAUUUAGUUACCUAUUUUCAGAAAAUUGCAUGUGGUUGGUUAUCUUGUCUCUUUUAUUAUUAUUAUUAUUAUUACUAUUAUUAAAUUUGCAUGAAUUAAUACUUUAGUUUUCUCUUUUAUUUAUAUAUAUAUAUAUAUAUAUAUAUAUAUAGAUAGAUAUUCUUUGACAUGAAAAUCACGGGUCGCAUAUUGACAUAGUGAAGGAGGUCACAACAUAUUGAAAAUUUUUGGAGGAUCAUGAGGACUUUGUUUUUUUUUGGAAAGUUACCACCUUGAGAAGAUGAAGGGAAUGAGACCGCACCAUGGGAACUUGGGUUGCACCAUGGGAAAUCAAGUUACUCUAGGAAGAGUGUAAAUGUGAAGUUGUGUUAGACUUAAGUCUUUUAUUUUUUGUCAACUCCUUGGGAAGAGUCUCAUUAGGAGUGUGCUAGUAGAGUCCCAUUCCGCUGACAAGUAGAGUCUCGUUCUGCUUAUAAGUAGAGUCCUAUUCUGAUUACAAGUAGAGUCAUGUUCUGAUUAUAAGUAGAGUCACCCCUGACUGUCAAAUAAUUUUUUUUUUAAAGAGUUCUUCUAAACCUUCCAAUGUUUUGCUUUCCUCUCCAUUCUUUCAUACAUCUAUCUGGAGGAAUUUUUUAGAACCCAAGUUGUACACGUCUUGCCUAUAAAGUGCACCCAAAGCGAGAUUCAUUGGUACCCUAGUGCACCAAGUUCGUUUUGGAGAAGGGUGGAUCUAUUUCAAAGACAAUGCUUGUUACCCCUCAACCUAUCACCGAUAAGUUUCUUGUUAUUCAUUCCACUCUUUGUUUGUGUGUUUUGGGCUAGUCCUCUGUUUUCAUACCCUUAAAACAACAAUCUUGAAAUAGAUCCAAAUGGAAGCUUCCCUAGUUCACACCUGUCCUAACACCUCUAAGAUUGAUCCCUUCAAUAUGACAUUCUUUGAGAGAUGGCAGGAAAUAGUUUUCUCUGUAAUUGAUGUAGUGAACUUGGGACACAUUUUAACUAACCUAAAACCAGAAAAUGGUUCUGAAUUGUUGCCUACUUAGGAAAUUGAUAAUAAACAAGUUAGACAUGAUAUUCUUAGUACCCUUUCUAAUGAAAUUUUUGAUGUUUAUUGUCAGUAUAAAGUUGCAAAAGAAAUUUGGGAUGCAAUGAAUAAAAAAUAUAUUUUGGAAGAUGUAAGAACUCAUAAAUAUGCAAUAGGGAAUUUAACAAAUUUCCAAAUGACCAAGGAUAUCAACGUAUCAUCUCAAAUCCAUUACUACCAUUUGUUGAUUAAUGACUUAGCUAUUAAAGAAAUUAAAUUACCUGAACCUUUUGUGGUUAGUUACUUAGUAGAGACUCUUCCAGAGUCUUGGAAAGACUGAAAAAAUAACAUGAAAUAUCAAAGGAAACAAAUGUCCCUAGAAGAUAUCAUAAUCCAUAUUAGGAUUGAGGAAGAAAAUCGAAAUAUGGACAAUGUUGAGAAAGCUAAGGAACUGUCUUCUAAGGCUAAUGUAGUAGAAGAAAAACCUAAACCCAAAAACAAUAAGUCCAGAAAGCAAAACAUUAGGACCAAGCCUAAUGUAUCAAACAAGGUUUAGAACCUAACUAUUAAAAAAUAGUGUAAUUGCUUUGUCUGUGGCAAGUCUGGACACCAUGCAACUCAAUGCCACCAUAGGAAGAGAACUGAGAAGUCUAAUUCAAAGGAAAAUCUGGCAAAGACAGAGGUGAUCACAACAAUAGCCUUCUCUGAUGUGAGCAUUAUCUUUAAUAUGAAGGAUUGAGUGGUAGACUCUAGGGCUACCAAGCACAUCUAUGGAAACAUAAGUGCAUUUGCUUCCUAUACCACUAUAAAGAAAGAAGAGGAACAAGUGUUCAUGGGCAAUUCUAGAUCUACCCUAGUGAUUGGCAAAGGAAAAGUUCUUCUCAAGCUAACCUCUGGAAAAGUGCUCGCCGCCCAUAGUGAUGUUCUUCAUGUGCCAAAUAUCCGCUGGAACUUGGUGUUAGUAUCUUUGUUUGGGAAAGCAAGAGUGAGGAUCUUGUUUGACUCCGAUAAAAUAGUUUUAACCAAGAAUGAUGCAUUUGUGGGGAAGGGCUAUUGUAAUCACAGUUUAUUUAUGUUGAAUAUUUUUAUAUUAUCAAUAAUAAUGCAUCUUCUUCUUCUGCUUACAUAGUUGAUUCGUGUGAUAUUUGGCAUGGUAGAUUAGGACAUGUGAACUUUUCAUAUACGAAGAAAAUUGUUGAAUUGAGUUUAAUCCCUAAGUUGUCCUUAGAAAAUCUUAGAAAAUGUUAAUCAUCUGUAGAAUCUAAAACCACAAAGAAAUCUUGCAAAUCAGUAGAAAGAGAAUCAGAUUUACUAAGUUUAAUACACAGUGACUUAGGAGACCUAAAAAAUACAAUGACUAGAGGUGGUAAACGAUUCUACAUAACUUUCAUAGAUGACUACUCAAGGUAUACAAGGGUAUAUCUUUUGAGAAACAAAGAUGAAGUAAGAGAUGUUUUCAUCAAGUACAAAAAUGAAGUGGAAAAUCAACUAAGUAAGAAGAUUAAAAAGCUUAGAACUGAUAAAGGAAGAGAGUAUGAGUCCAACCCCUUUAAUUAUUUUUGUGAAGAUCAUGGGAUCAUUCAUGAAACUACUACUCCUUAUUCUCCUUACUCUAAUGGAGUAGCAGAAAGAAAAAAUAGGACCUUAAAAGAAAUGAUAAACGCAAUGUUGGUAAGUUCAGGAGCACCCUUGAACUUGUGGGGGGAAGUUAUCAUUUCCUCUUGUCAUAUUCAAAAUAGAAUACCUUACAAGAGAACUGGUAAAACUCCUUAUGAGUUGUGGAAGGGUUAUGCACCUAAUAUAACAUACCUGAAAGUGUAGGGUGAUUAGCUAAAGUUCUUUUCCCUAAACCUAAUGUUCGUUGGCUAUGCUGAGAAUAGUGUGACAUAUAGGUUUCUUGUUACUAAGUCAGAAAACAGUCUUAUGGAUGUCAAUACCAUAAUAGAAACAAAGAAUGAGGAUUUCUUUGAAAACAUAUUUCCUAUGAAACUAAAUGGUGAACAACAAGUUCAGAAAACAAGUAGAGAUGAGUCUAUUGAACCUUCUAAGUUUGAACCUAGAAGGAGUAAAAGAGAUAAGAAAGAAACAAACCUUAGAGAUGGCUUUUAUGCCUUCCUAAUAGAUGAAGACCCAAGAUCCUACAAAGAAGCUAUAACUUCUCCUGAUGCACCAUUCUGGAAAGAGGUCAUUAACAGUGAAAUCGAAUCAAUCAUGUAUAACCAUAAAUGAGAGUUAGCAAAUUUACCUCCUGGUGCAAAGACUAUUUAUUGUAAGUGGAUAUUUAAAAGAAGGUUAAAAUAAGAUGAGUCUGUAGAGAAGUAUAAAGCUCGUUUAGUUUCCAAAGGCUUUAAACAAAGGAAUGAUGUAGAUUACUUUGACAUAUUUUCCCUUGUGACUAGAAUAGCGUCAAUUAGAGUAUUGAUCGCUCUAUCUUCCAUUCAUAACCUGGUGAUACACCAAAUGGACGUCAAAAUUGCAUUCUUGAAUGGGGAUUUGGAAGAGCAAAUUUAUAUGGAACAACUUGAGGGUUGUGUAGUUCUAGGGAAGAAGAAAAAUGUGUGUAGGUUGGUUAAAUCACUAUAUAGGUUAAAACAAGUUCCCAAACAAUGGCACAUCAAGUUUGAUCAUGUGUUAGUAACUAAUAGAUAUUCCAUUCAUGAUGUUGAUAAAUGUAUCUACAACAAGUAUGAGGAUAACACAUGUGUAGUCAUUUGCCUUUAUGUUGAUGACAUGCUGAUUUUUGGAACUAGCCUAGAGGUUGUGUGUAAGACCAAAAAAUUCCUAGGUUCUGAGUUUGAUAUGAAAGACCUAGGAAAGGUAGAGGUGAUUCUAGGAAUUAAAAUAACUAGAACACAUAAUGGGCUUAAGCUUUCUCAAGAGCACUAUGCUGAGAAGAUCCUAAAGAAGUUUGAACACUUUGAUUGUAAACCAGUGUCAACUCCUUAUGAUCUCAGCUCACAACUGAAGAAAAAUAAAGAACAAAAUGUUGCCCAAAUCGAGUAUGCUCAAAUCAUAGGAACCCUAAUGUACUUAAUGAACUAUACCAUACUUGACAUUGCUUAUGUAGUAGGUAGAUUAAGUCGGUACACCUAAAGUCCUAAUCAGGACCAUUGGACCAUUGUUCGUAGAGUCCUUAAGUAUUUGAGAGGCACCAUUAACUAUGGUUUGUGCUAUAGUGGAUAUCCAAGUGUCCUUGAAGGAUUUAGUGAUGUAAAUUGGAUCUUAGAGUCAGAUGAGAUGAAAUCCACUAGUGGAUAUGUUUUCAUCCUUGGUAGAAGUGUAGUUUCUUGAAAGUUUGCCAAGCAAACUUGCAUUACUCAGUCUACUAUGGAAGCUAAGUUUAUUACCUUAGAAAAGACAAGUUCUGAGGUUGAGUGGCUUAGAAACCUCUUAGUAGAUCCCGUCUGUGUCUAUGCGUUGUGAUAGCCAAGUUGUAAUUGCUAAGGCUAAGAGUAAAAUAUUUAAUGGAAAGAACAAACAUAUAUGCCUAAGGCACAAUAUUGUGCGACUGCUGCUUGAAAUAGGGGUUAUAUCUCUAGAAUUUGUGAGGUCAAAGUUGAAUUUGCUCGAUCCUUUGACCAAACCACUAAAUAAGAAACUAAUGGAAGAAACAUCGAGGGGGAUGGGGCUUAUGCCUAUUACAAAAGUCAACAGUGGUGGUAACCUAACCUAUUAGAAUGGAAAAUUCUAUGAAGUUGGUUCAUAUGGGUAAUAACAAAUCGCUUGUCAACUUGAGGUGCUCUAUCAACUUUAAUUGUAUGAGAGUCUAUCCCUAUGGUGUGGAUAGAGCAUAUUCUGCAUUGACUAAGGUUGAGUGUUUACUCUUAAUGAAUGCCACAUUCCUUAUGAAUGGUAUGUUUAAAUGCAUAAUAUACUUGAUGGAUUCAACUAUAUGAGAGUAGAGAUGAGACCACUUCCUAUAAAAACUUAAGCAGGUUCUCUAGAGCUCUCAUAAAUAUCCAGGCAGAGUACAUGGCCUAUUUGUGUCAACCCGUUAUGUACAACUCAUAAUGUAAUUAAGAAAACCAAUGUGGAUAAAGGUCUCUUAAGUUACAUCAAGAAACACUGGUUCAUAGAAAUUCAUUUUUCACCGUAUUUUGUGAUUCAAUACUUAUUUGUCCUAAGAUUGGUUCAUAGCCUUUGGGUACCAAUACUGAUGCAUUUGAUUUUUUUUUCUCCAUUUUUUCCUUCCUUCACAUCUACUCUCUAUGAGGGAUUGCAGAAAGAGUGUAAAUGUGAAGUUGUGUUUGACUUAGUCUUUUAUUUUUUAAUGACUCUUUGGGAAGAUUCCCAUUAGGAGUGUGCUAGUAGAGUCUCGUUCCGCUUACAUGUAGAGUCUUGUUCUGUUUAAACUAGAGUCAUGUUCUAAUUACAAGUAGAGUCAUAUUUUUAUUACAAGUAGAGUCCUGUUGGGACUGUGUUAGUGGCCUAUAAAAGCAGGUCACUCCUCACUCUCAAAUAUAUUUUUUUUUUCAGAGAGUUCUUCUAAAUCUUCCAACAUUUGGCUUUCCUCUCCACUCUUUCAUACAUCUAUCUGGAGGAAUUUUUUAGAACACGAAUUGUACACAUCUCGCCUGUAGAGUGCACCCAAGGUGAGAUUCACUGGUUGAUGAAUCCUAGAGGUAGAUCACUGGUACCCUAGUGCACCAAGUUUAUCUUCAAGGAAGGUGAAUCGAUUUCAAGAACACUGUUUGUCACACCUCAACCGAUCAUCGAUAAGUUUCGUGUUAUUCAUUCUAUUCUUUGUUUGUGUGUUUUGGGCUAUUCAUUUGUUUUCAUACCCUUAAAACAAUAGUUACUUCAUGGGAAAGAGAACAUUGGAAGAUAAGAAGAUUUUUGGAGGAAUAUGACAAUUGUAUUCUCUAGGGAGCCACAACAUCAAUAUGAGAAGAGUAAGUCUUCAUUGAAAAAAAAAAAAAGACAAAUUUAAGGAAAAUGAUCAACAGGGACUGCAAAUUUGAUUUUGAGGGUCUCCUUACAAUAGACCGAACCAUCUAACAACCCUUUUCUUCAUAAGAGGACAUCACUUUAUGACCAUACUAAAUCCAACAUUGCCAUUUGGACCGUAAGGAUGCUUGCUUGCUAUUUGCACCAGAGAAGGAUGAAUGAAGUUGUAUCGUGCACCAUUUUGUGAGUUGCAAACCACAUUCUGGUAAGUUAAGAGGAAAUAAUCCACAUCAAAUUUUGGAAGCCAUGACAUCUGGGAGGUUAUUGAUACUUGAGAGGAAAAUUUUCAACUUUUUGACUUCUUUGAUCAUUUAAUCCAACUGAAAGUAAAAAAAAUCAAGGAUCAUUGACGAAUGAGGUUGUGAUAUGGUGCCUAAUUUCUAGUACAAUAGCCUUAAUUUUGAGUUAUAUAUCAUAUUCGAUCAUCAAAGGCAGGAGUAAUAGAUGACGGGGGUUCAGAUUCUUCCAUCCAUAUACCAAUGAUGGCGUUGAUGGUGAGAGGGUCUUGUGGCACACCGUCAAAGCCAUCCAAAAAGAUUGCCUCAUCUACACCGAUGACCAUGAUGCUUCUUCUAAUAGCUUGAUGGCUCGUGUCGUUCGACAUUUUGGUGGAGUUUUCAAGGUGAGGGUUGAGAAGCAGGUUUGAGCGUGUUGAGAAAGAGAUUCAAAGCCUUGGGAGGAUUUUUUAGAAAAGAGAUCGCACACAAAGGGUUGUCCACUUUCCAUUUGAGAGAACGAUAAUCAGAAUUUUUAAGGAACAACAAUCAGAAUUUCUAGAGUGGUGGAUGUUAAGAAUUUUUUUUUUUUUUUUUUAUGGGAUAACGAUCAGAAUUUUUCCGAGAACAACAAUCAGAAUUUUUGGAGAGGAAGAUGCAACAAAGAAACCAUCAUCUUAAUGCGCACCACCAGAAUUGUAGAACCAACUCACCAUCGAUAACUGUUCUCCAUCUUCAUGCACAGGUUGAUCAUUCGACCAAUGGGACGCACUCUCUACGGGGAAAACCAAUAGAACCAGACAUCAUCUUCACAUGAAAGAAGGUUUCCACAUUGAGGGGCUGCCACUUUGAAACCAUUGUCGGCAUCUCUCCAUCACAAAGGAGCUUCGGCAUGCAUCGCUUCACAGGAACACCCAUAGGUGAGUUUUUUUUAUUUUUUUUGGGAAACUUUGGUAUUUGAAUCCAUGAGUGCUAUACAUGUAGUGGAAGAUUGAGGAUUUUUUUUUUUUUUUAAAUAUAAUAUAGAGUCAUGAGUGUUUGAACGCUAGUGGCUUGGCUUUUUUUAGGGAAAAAAAAUUGAUGUAUAUACACGUGGUCCGCCAUGUGAUGUUUCAAGUAUGUUAAUAGUUUGUUUCAUUGAAUUAAAAAUUAAAGUGAAUGUGGUGGGUCAUGUUGUUAUUGGUUUACAUUGUUAUAAAUUUACAAUGAAACAAAUGAAAACUAAUAUCCAUAAAAAUUCAUUCAUUUAUUUAUUUAUUUAUUCAUUUUCAUAAAGUUAUUUGUUGCAAAUUUUGAAUAUCCAUGUUAGUUUAUACUUUUCAUAAAACCAUUUGUUGUUAAUUUUAAAUAUAUAUAUUAAUUUAUAUUGCUCCUUGAACUUUUAGUUUGUAGUUUUGGUUGAUCCAUGUUAAUUUUUGUUAUCCUUAAAAUUAUCAAUUGUUAUUUUGGUUGAUCCAUGUUAAUUUUUUGUGGUCCUUUGAAUUUUUAGUUUUUAAUUUGAUGGUCUGUGUUAAUUUUUAUAUACCUUUGAGCUUUUAAUUGUUGAUUUUAAUAAACUAUGUUAGUAUAUAUUCCUUCUUGAAUUUUUAGUUUUUGGUUUUGGUUGAUCCAUGUUGAUUUAUAUUGCUCUUUGAAUUAUUAAUUAAUAUUUUGGUUGAUCCAUGUUGUUUAAUAGUUUUCUUUAAAUAUGAGGGUUUUAGUUUUUAUUUACCUCUUAUUAGUUUGUGAUUUAAAUAUCCUUAGAUGUUAGUUUUUAUUAUUUUCCAAUUAUUCAUUCUUAUUGAACCUAAAUUAGUUCAUGUUUUUAUUAUCUCUAGCAUUAGUUUGGUUGUUCCUCAUUAAUUUAGGUUUUUAAUAUCCCUAGUUGUUGACUUUUGUUAAUAUUUCAUGUUAGUAUAUGUUCUUAAUAAUUUUAGGCUUAGUUUCCUUGACCCUUGAUGAUAUUAAUUCAUGCUAGUUUAAAAUUGUUAUUAUCAUUGUUAUUAUUAUUAUUAUUUGUUAACCCAUAUAGAUUUUUUUGUUGUCCUUUGACCUUUUAAUCUUAGGUAUUGAUUAUCCAUGUCAUUUGAGUAUUAUUAGAUCAUUUUCAUGCUAUGAGAGUUCUCAUCUUUAAAAUUUUGGUAAUUCUAAGGUGUUAAAUCUUCUUAGUAUUAUUCAUGAUAAUUUUAUGUUAAAUAAUUUUUCUUGAAUGACAGUAAAUUAGUUUCAGAUUUUUCAUUAUUUGUUUAAUAUUAGUUAGUUUCAUGUUAUUUAGAUUAUUUUCAUGCCAUUAAAAGUAUUAUCCCUUAUAGUUUAUUAAUUCUUAGGUUUUAAUCUUCUUGUUUUAGCUUCAUAUCAUUAUAUUAUUUCCCAUGCUAUUAAAAGUUUUGUAAUGCAAGUUCGAUAAUUUUAAUAUUUGAUCUUCAUGUUUUUAGUUUCAUGUCAUUCAAUAAUUUUUCAUGAUAUUGAAAGUUCUUCUUUGGAAAUUUAGUAGUUCUUAAGUUUUAGAUCUUCUUGUUAUUAUUCAUGUAUUUUGAUCCUGUUAUCAUAUUAAAAGUUGUCUUUUUUGGAAACUCGGUAGUCUUAGGAUUUAGAUCCUAAAUCCUCCAAUUAUUAUUCAUGCAAUUUGUUUGUGUUAUGAACUAAAAAAUUUAUCUUGAAAGGUUUAGAAGUUCUUAGGACUUAGCCUCAUUCUUAUUUUAGAUUCAUGUUAUUUUUUUAUAUUCAUGCUAUUUAGAAAUAUGGUUGCUCAUCUUUUAAAGCUCGUUUUUCUUCUAAGACGUAGUUUCUUGUUACCACUCAUGGGGUUUAAUUAUUUAUUUAUUUUGAAAGCAUAUUGGCUAGUUUGGGAUUCAGAUCUCCUUAUUAAAAUUCAUGUUUGAUCUUUUAUAUUUGAAAGCAUGUUAUUUGUUUGCAAUUCAGCUAAAAUUCAUGAUAUUAGUUGUUUAUUUUUCAAAGAUUGAUUUUUAGAAAGAGAUUUUUAGAAAUUGACAUUUUGAAUUAAGUCAAAAUCUCUUCUUUUCUUUCAAAAAAUGAAUUUUUCUCCAUAAAUGAUGUGGCUCCUUGAUCCCAAAUGAAAGGUAGCCAAUAAGGCGAUCCAUGUUGAUAAUUCUUUUGUUUUCAAAUCCCUUUUAAAUUAGAAAUAAAAUAAAAUAAAAUAAAAUAAAAUAACUCCAUUUUGUGUCCAAUGUUUUGGAUUUAUCAAAUCACAUGGUUUGAUCUUUUGCUUUCCUAAAAUCAUUCUCAAAGGAAUUUAAAUAUUAAAAAAAAAAAUCCAUUCCCGGUUUUUAAGGCCAAUAUCUCACUUUGUUUUAAAGAAAAAAAAAUAUAUAUGUAACUUAGUUUUAUCCAAAUUGCAUUCCUUUUUCUUAGUUUUCUAAAACUUUAUUUUCUUAACAUAGAUUUGAACUUGUGUUCCCAAGCUAAUAGGAAUACACAGGUGAAUCUUAUGAAUAUUAAUUGGGGAUUUGAUGGGACCCCAACAUAAAAGAAUCUUUUCAAAACUUAUUUUUGUUGCCACUUUUGCUACUUGUUAUAAUCAUAACCAUCAAUUUUUUAGGAAAAUUAUGCAAGAUGUAUGUGAUAAUUGAUGACUUUGAAUACUCUGAUAAUUUUUGCUACGCUAUUUAGAUACCAAGCAUGCUAGGAUUUCUUUUUUUUAUUAUUUAUUACUAUAAUUUUGAUCUAACCUUCCAUGUCUUGUGAAAACACACUAUAAGUUAUCUAUGUUAUUUAGGUACUCAUCUUACCUUCACAUUUUAAUUUCAUAAAUUGUGUAUUACUUUAUAUAUGAUCAUUACCUAUUGCUUCGUAUGUGAUUGUCAUGUUUAGCAUAUCUUUUUUUAUUGUUUGUUUGACUUGUCAUGUUUGAUUAAGAGACUAAGGUAAAACGCAUGAUAUGUGUUUUAUUUUCUAAACCGACCAUUGAUGUCAUGUGAUAGUGCUUAAGUUGCAGUUCAGGUAUGCAAUACAAUCAUUUCUUUAUGAUUGUGUUUUGAAUUCUUGUUUGGCUUGCUAGUGUUGAAAGAUUUUAAAAAUCACCUUAGUCCGUCUAAGUAUCCAUAAUCAACUAACUAAUUGUCAUAUUUCCAUCAACUUAGCUAGUAGAGAGACCUCUCUAUGGAUUAGAAGGGUGCUACCUCUUUGGAGGUAUUUUCUUGAUAGGUAACUUGAUCCCCGGAUCCAAACUCGAGUUUUUCGUAGACAGCUUUUCCAAAAGCUAGGAAUCAUUUUUAAGGGUUUUGUUCUUACUUGAUUUCCCCUUUUUAAAAUAAAUAAAUAAAAGUAAGUGGUAACUCCAGUUUUUUUUUUCUCUCGUAAAAUACAAUUUUUCCUUAAACAAAAGUGAGUCUUAUCAAUUGAGUGGGGAUGUAUUGUGAAAAAUGUGGGUCCACAACAACCCUUCAAAUGAUGUGUCUAGUAUUUUAAAGACAUCUCUUCUAAAGGUCACCUUCAAAUCUAUAAACAAACAUCUCUUCUGAAUUAAUAUUCAUCCAUUCUCUCCAUUCUUUCUCCUUUAUUGUCAUUCAAGUCUCCUUAGCUUCAAGUCUAGUCAUUUCUCUUCUUUUUUUUACCAAAUAUUUGGUGUACAAGUGAGUACAAAUCACCAAGUGAUUCACCAUUUUUUUUAGUGAUUUGAAGUGUUACUAUCACAAAAAAGUGAUCAUUGUAACCUAGGAGACAAUUGUCAAUAAACCAUAAGCACCUGAAUGGGGCAAAUUCAUCUUAAGGACAUAAAGUCAACUUUAGCCUUGAUCAACCUUAUUUGUGACUUUCAGUUUUCUACAUAUUUUAUUUUAUUUGUAUAUUUACUAUACACACUUAUUAUCCCUAUAUUUUCAGUGAUCUGGACUACAACUUUUAGUAGUAAAUCGAGAUUUCUUCUCCAAACAGGAUUUUAGGAGAAGAAAUUAUGUUUAUGGAAAAGUUUUUACUAUAGAAAAUUAAAUUUAAUGUAGUAGAUCUUGACUUAUCGUGUUUGAAAGCUAUGAUUAUUGAUUAAAAAAAAUUAAUGUUAUUUUUCUUUUAAUUACAAGUAUUUUUUAUAUAUAAAGUUAAUAUUUAAGUAUAAAACCUUUUAGAAAUGUCAACUCAACUCUAUUUAUGGAAUAAUUUUAAAUUUUCCUUUUAGCAAAAGUUGAAAUAAACGUAAAAUAACUACUUUUAUUAUAAGUUGAUUUUAUGUUUGGAAUAGAAUGCUUUUAUUCAAAAUAAAGAAUAAUUAAGAUAUUUUUAAAUUUUAGUUAAAUAAAACUUGUUGAAUACACCAAUAUUUUCUCUCGUUACACCCAUCUUAUUUUUAAUUUUUUUUUUAGUAAAAAUGUGAAUGUCUUUUUCUUCAUCAUCCUUUUGACACUCAUGUCUCAAAUCUUAAUUAGCUUUCUUAUUCACUUUUCUUCCCCUUUCCUUUAUUUUAUUUCAAUUUUCCUUUAACUAAAAUAGAAAAACAACUAGAAAAAUAAUAGUUGGUGUGCAACCAUGACUAUUGUCGGUAUAGAUAGAAAAGAAUUGGUGGAUUAAAUAACCACUAAAUUAAUCAUCAAAACUUUAACUUUAACUUUUUAACUCAAUAAAAUUUAGACUUGACAAACAAUGAGUCAUACACAUUGAACGAAUGUUAUGCAAUUCACAAAGCGAUAUAUGACCAAAUUUGAAAGGCUACAAAAUCAAAUCUUGUAAAAUAAAAAUAAAAUAAAAUUUUUAAAGUAAAAAAGAGAAUUAGAAAAAUAUAUUCUCUUGCUAGUAAAUUUCUGAAAUGAAAGAAACAAAUUGCUUAAUUAAAUCAAAAGCGAAUUGUAAAGAAAUAUUCUCUUGUUGAUAAAUUUUUUAAAUGAGGGUACACAAAUUGCUAAAUCAAUCAAUCAAUCAAUCAAAUUCCUUAAAUUGAGUAACCAACUACUGGGGAUUCCAAAUUUAAUUUCUUAACUUCACCUAUAAAUAAAAAUCACCUUCUUCAAUAUAGGAGAUUAAAAAAAUAAAUAAAUAAAUAAAUUUCAGAAGAAGCCAGAGAAAAAAGGAUUCUCAAGGAGAAAAAUGUUUCACAAUAUACCCCCUACAAGUCCAAGAAAAGCACAUGAAAAACUAUGUACAUACUUUUCACCAUUCUCAAAGUUCAAUAGUCAUUUAGAAAACAAGAUAUGCAAGACUCUCAAUUGAACUUUAAUUUCAAAGAAAUACUUACAUCGUCAUUCAUUAGAUUGUGAUUAAAACAAUCAAAUCAGAGGAAAAUUUUCUUUACAAAGAAUAUUAUAAUAGAAAAUUGUACCUCAUAAAUUUUUCUAAUUAGGAAAAUUUAGGUAGGUGUAUUUAACAACUCUUUAAAAAAAUAAAUUUUAUCCCUAAAAAAUUAAUAUACAUUUAUAGGAGCACUAAGUGACAAAAUUCGAAACUAAUGGAGAUUUAAUGCAAUGUUAUGAAGAUUAGACCGAACGAGGACCGGAUUGGUCUGGUUCACCACAUCAAGCCACAAAUGAGUUGAAUCGGCAUUAAAUCGGUCCAACCACUAGGUGAGUUAGCUCAACCAAUUCAAGAGCUACACUUUAUUCCCUUUUUUUCUUUUCCAAAACUCACCUAACCGUCCAACACAUAUAAGUCCAUAGUCAAUUUGCAUGAAUGACAAGUUUAUAUAGCCUACUUUUGCUUCAUGCUUUUUCGAUGUAGAAUCAAGUGAAUUUUUGUUUUUGGAGACUAAAUGUCAUGACCAUGGGAUUUGAACAAAACAUGGAACACCCAAGUUAUCCUUACAUGUUUGCAAAGAAAAACAUUCGAAAGCUAUAUAUACAUUAUUGAAAAUUUUAAAAUGAAUAUAAAUAUUUAUGAUUUAUCUAUAAUAAAUAUGGGAAUAAUAUAAAUAAAAAACUAAUAAUUUGAAGAUAAUAAAAUGUAUAGCUAUUGAAAUCCAAACAAAUUAAAAUAAUAAAAUCCUUUUAUCUUAAUAAAUUAAAGUUACUUAUUUAAUAAAAAAAAAACUAAUAAUUUAAUAAAUCAUUAAGUUAUCGUUAUCAUAUUUUGAGCUAUCAAUAUUAUCAAUAAUAAAAUGAUGAAAUGUGUUUAAAAUUUAAUUACUUAUACAUUUUCUUAUUUCAUAUAAUUGUUUUUAAUUUUAUUAAUAAUGCAAUUUAUAUAUUUAUGACAUCAUUGGUUUAAUAAUUUCAACCAUCGAUCUAAUCGAUGAAUUAUGAAUUCGAUAACUUUUAUAAUUUAAUGAUCAAUCCAAUUUUGAAAACAUUAUUUUAAUGUAUGUACACUAAACCUUAGGGAAUUUGAUUGAAAUUAACUCAUACAAACAAUUUUGUUUGUAUAUAUUUCUAGUUCUUUUACUUAUUUUUAUGGGAGAAUUAUCUUUUGGGGGUAGAUGGGCCCCCAAAUUAACAAAAGGUCCAUGUAACUCUUCAAAUUGAGUUGAAGGAUAUGAAAUAGUAACGGACAAAUAUACCCUUUAAGAACACAUAUAAAAUAUUUUAUAAAAUUAAGUUAAAUAAUUCUUUUUCAAUAAUUUUUUUUUUCAAAAAUACUAAAUUAAAUAAAAGUAGUUUUCAAAAAUAUUAAAUUAAUUUUUUUUUUCAAAAAUAUUAAAUAAAAUAAAUUUAUUUUUAAAAAAUAUUAAAUAAAAUAAAUUUAUUUUUAAAAAAUAUUAAAUUAAAUAAAAGUAUUUUAAAAAAUAUUAAAUUAAAUAAAAGUAUUUUAAAAAAUAUUAAAUUACAUAAAAGUAUUUUUUAAAAAUAUUAAAUUAAAUAAAAAAUAUUAAAUUAAAUAAAAGUAUUUUUCAAAAAUAUUAAUUUUUUUUCUCAAAAUCAACAAAUGAUAUUUUUUGAAAUACUGAAGGAUGAUAUCCUUCAACUCAAUUUCCAUACUUUCAUUGGGUCUUGGGCUCAAUUUAAAGAGUUAUAUGGACCUUUUGUUAAUUUAGGGGCCCAUCUACCCCCAAAACAUAAUUCUCCCAAUUUUUAUAGGACUUUCGAAAUUUGCACAUGUAAUUGCCAUUGAUAGCAUUUGGAUAUGCAUUCUAAUCUAUUGUUCAUGCAUGACUAAGCAAAUAACCUUCGCCACUGUAAACAACCAUGAUGUGAGUACCAACAAAGCCAAGUCACUCACCCUCUUCAUAUGGUUUUUAUUUUUUAUUUUAUUUUUUGUUAAUGUUUGGAUAUGGGAAUAAAGAAAAAAAGACAAGGCAUGCAAGCAAGGGAAAGGAAAAGUAAUGGGAGGGAUAUAAGAUUCAUAAUAAUGAUAAGGGCUUAGGUAUGGUACAAAUAACACCUUUUUAGUACCAAUUAGUGGGUGUCACAUGUGCACUGGUUCAUUGCUUUGUUCUUAGCAUCUCAUUAUUUUGUUUUGUAUCCUCCCAAGUUGGAUCAAACUAUGCAUCACUUUCCUCCUCAAGAUAAAAAAACCAAAAGAUAAAAAAGAAUAGGCCGGUUAGGUAAACCUUUCUUCAACAAUCAAGUUAUCCAUGAGGUUAAGUGAAAAAGACAUAAAAGAUGAAAUUGUUUUUGUUCCUUAUUUUGGAAGUGAGAAUUCCUUUUAUAGAUUUAUUUUGGUGUAUUAAUCAUGAAAAGUUAAUAAAUGGAAACAUCAAUUCUAUAUUGUUCCUUAAAUGAUUUCCAUUACGAGUAUCAUAAAGGCUCUAAUCAUUAUGCAAUAAUUAUGGAAUGACAUUUAAGGUUUUGGCCAUUAUGUGAUUAAUCUGUGAAUUGUUGUCAUUACAUAAUUAAUGUAUAGGUUAUCCUUUACACAAGGUCAUAAUUUGCAAUAGUGAUCAUAUUUUAUGAGUGGUAGUCAUUCCUGAAUGUGAUCAAUGCUUUUUGUGACGUGAUGAUGAUAAUGAUCUAUUUUUACGGUGAGGUGGGUCUCAUGGGGACUCUUGACAAGCAUUAUAUGGAGGUAGCACAUUGCUUUUUUGACUUUGCUACAUGACGAAGGAUUUUCAUAUCCCUACACUUCCUAUUUUACAUGUGAACUAAUUAUUUUAUAUUUUAGUUCCAUUAUUUUGUAGUUUAGUCUUAUUACAGGCAUUACAUUUUAAUCUCAUUGAUCUAUAUAAUGGUUCCAUGUGUUUAUAACAUGGGUCUUUAUACUUUCAUUUAGUGACUCAGAUUUUAUUAUAUACUUAAAUGAUUAGGAUUAAAAUUUCAAUAUCAUAUCAAAUAUAAACCCAAUAUAUUUCUUUUUUUAUAAUAAUAAAUUUAUUGAAGAAAGGUAUGAUUGAAUAUUAGAGAUUGUGGCUUUCAAGUUAACACUAAAAAAACUACGCACAUAGAUGAUUUUAGUGUUAAAAAACUUGAGGAGAAUUAUUUCCAAUUGGUGACAUGUGUUAGGUAUAAAGUUGCCUUUAAUAAGAUUGAUAACUACAUUACUAAAAUAUAAAACCUUAUUGGUAAUAAUAGUAAAGGAUUGAUUAUGACACUAACUACUACUUUUUUGGUAUCAUAUCAAAAAGUUAUCAUCAACUAAGGGUAUCAAAUGUAUGCAUGUUGAUCCUAUUACUUUGUACUUGAUAUCUAAUUAGUUAUACUUUAUAUACAUAAUGAUCGUAUUGGUUUGUAUCUUGGUUCAUUACUUUUCAACAUAUGAUACCUAGAUUUCAUUAUUUUAUACUAAACAUUUCAUUGUAUUAUACCAUAUAUGUGAUCUCAUUGAUCCAUACCUUUAUUCCAUUAUUUUGUACCAUGUGAUAGCUCGGAUCCUUGCUUUUGCUAUAUAUUACAUGUGACUUUGGUUCCAUUAUUUUGUAUUCGAGUGUUUUAUUAUUUUAUAAUUUAUAUAUAAUUUUAUUGUUUUCUACCUUAAUUUCACUAUUAUUAACCAUAAAUAACAAUUUCAAUAAAAAAAAGUUUUCUAUGAUAUGGGAUGUAUAUUAUAUAUUAAAUUUAUCAUUUAUGGGAGAUAAUUGCCCCCCAUCUAACGCUCAAAAAAUUAUGCAUAUGAAAGAUUUUAGUGUCGGAAAAGUAGAGAUUUUUUUCUAGAAUUGGGUCAAAAAGGUAUAUGUGUGACAUUUAAAUUUGUCUGCUUAUAUGAUUGAGAUAAGAACAUUUGGAAUUAGAGAAUUAGUCGAUGUUCAAUUAAUAAUGCAGCAGUGAUGAAAUUCAGUGGAAUUAAUUUAGAUACUAUUGAAUGGACGUCUCACAAAGUGGACUAAAUUUUAUCAAUUUGAUUGAUUUGAAAAAUUCAUAUGUUUAAAAUCAUUCAACAUUCUGAGAAUAAUUCCUUUUUCAAUUAAAAAUUGUCUGCUCCACACGAAAAGACAAACUUGGUUUUGGUCUCUUUCCAAAGUAGAAAUAAUUCCAUAAAUAUUGAAUUAUAUUGUUUACUAAAGAGAAUUGAAGAGAUCAAAGAAUGCCAACCAAAAACAAAAAAACAAAAAAAGACAAAUAUUUGCACGGAAAAGUCCAUGCAAUAGUACUCACGCCCACAGCCUAAGACUUCAACAUCAGAGAUAUGAAUAUUCUAUAUUCUAUGUCGGCCAUGACAUCACCUCCAUUCUUCUUCUCCAAGCUAAAACCACAUAGUGAAGAUCUAUAUAUAUAUCUGAAUCAUCCGGUGUUUAAUUCCACUGAAAAUAAGAAAAUUUCUUAGAAUUUUCUCUGUGAGCCGUAGUAUUAGCUAGUGAUGGUGAAGAAAAUAGAGCUUAUUUUUGUCUCUGUCUCAGCUAUAGGACAUCUUGUAUCAGCUGUGGAGUUUGCUAAGCUUCUUGUUGGUAGAGAUGACCGCUUCUCAGUCACUCUACUCAUCAUGAAGCUACCUCUUGAGGACUCUGCGGUAACCAACUAUAUCCAUUCAGUUUCUGCUUCCGUUUCCGGGUCCAUUCGAUUUGUCCACCUUCCUGAACUCGACUCAGAUUCAUCCAAUUCCCACCCAUCAUCGUCAUCCCCUAAUAUCUUCUAUAAUAUCAUUGCAAGGCAGAAGCCUCUAGUGAGGGAUGCAGUCCACCAGCUCACUCGGUUUGAGUCGGGUCGACUCGUUGGGAUUGUGGUCGAUAUGCUUUGUACUGUUAGAUUAAUUUUUGUAAUUAAUCUAUAAUUUGGGCCACACAUGUAAAUAAUUAAAAUGUGUGUGCUAUCAUUUAAUUAAUUAAGCCUAAAUAUAGUGAUCUAAUUAAUAAUUGAUUAAUUGGCUUAAGGGUAUAAUUGUCAUGAGAUUAUUGUGUAGAUACCAUUAGAUAAUUAUUAUUUCUAUGAGGGGCAGAAAUAUAAUUGUGAUAAAAUUAAAACUGCCCUAGCGGUUUAUAAAUAGGGUUAUGGUCCCCAUUCUACGACUACGCAUUCCAAUUUCUGAAAAUCCUCUCAGUGAGAAAUUGACACAAAAUCUAGUGGCUAGAAUUGGAAGACCAUCUCAAAGGGUUUUCUUCCUAUAAGGUUUCUCCUUCAAUGGAUUCAGGUAUGCUUCCGCUAUUAUUUUUUCUACUCAUUGUUUUUAAUCAGGAGAUUCCAGUAUAUAUGAAAUUAGGGUAUUCACCUUGUUAAAUAUUCCAGUAUAUAUGAAAUUAGGGUAUUCAUCUUGAUUCAUUUUAACAUGUACUUCCAUGAUAGAUGUAGCUAAUAAAUUGGGUGUUCCUUCCUAUGUGUACUUCGCCUCCAGUGCGGCCUGCCUUGCUCUCAUGUUUCAUCUUCAAACCCUCAAGGACCGCCAGGGCGUGGAUGUUACUGAGUUUGCUAACUCGGAUGCUAAGUUGGUGGUCCCGGGUUUUGUCAACUCGGUUCCUGCUCGAGUCUUGCCUGCUACGGCGGUGGACAAGGAGGGUGGCGGAUCCAUGGAUUUCCUCGAUCGGGUAAGGAGCUUUAGAGAUGCCAAGGGUAUUUUGGUAAAUACAUUUAUGGAGCUAGAAUCUCAUGUGAUUAACUCCUUUGUCGAUGGUACAACUCCUCCCAUUUACACAGUAGGGCCAUUAUUGAACUUACAACAUGCCAACAAACAAAAACAAGAUAGUGACUUGGAUGUCAUCCAAUGGCUUGAUGAUCAACCCACAUCAUCUGUGGUGUUUUUAUGUUUUGGCAGCGCUGGAGCAUUCCACAUGGAUCAAAUCAAGGAGAUUGCAAUUGGGCUUCAGAAUAGUGGGCAUCGUUUCUUGUGGACACUCCGACAACCUCCACCAAAAGGUAAGAUGGCAAUACCUAGUGAUUAUGUGAAUUUCGAGGAAGUAUUACCUGAAAGGUUCUUAGAUCGUACAUCUAAAAUUGGAAAGAUAAUUGGAUGGGCACCACAAGCAGCUGUUUUAGCUCACUCUGCAGUAGGAGGGUUUAUAUCUCAUUGUGGGUGGAAUUCUAUAUUAGAAAGCAUAUGGUAUGGUGUCCCAGUAGCUACAUGACCUAUGUAUGCAGAACAAUAAUUGAAUGCGUUUCAAAUAGUAAGAGAGUUAGAAAUGGGGGUAGAGAUUAGAUUUGAUUAUAACAUGAAUACUAGUAAUCUUGUAAGUGCUCAAGAAAUUAAGAGUAGAAUAAGGAGUUUAAUGGAUGAUAGCAACAACAUUAGAAUGAAAAGGGCAAAAAUGAAAGAAAAGUGCAUGAAGGCCUUGACAAAAGGUGGAUCUUCGGACUCUAGCAUACAACGUCUAAUUGGAGACAUGAUAACUAAUAUCUCAUGAAGUGAAUGCUAAAGCAAUGUAUUAUAAAAAAAAAGGUUCUAAGUCCUUAAAAAUGUUUGUUUCAAUUGCUUUUAAUAAUGUAAUGGUUGAGUGUCAUAGAAAAGUUGAUUAAAAAAUUAAGUUGAAAAAAAUGUAUUGUCUACUUAUUUUAAAUAAAAAUAAAAGUAGCAUAUGUUACAUCUUGUGUGACAUCUUUAUUUUAAUAUUAGAUGAUGUAUCAAAUCCAAAUUGUAUGGGAAUAUAAAUAGAUUUUAGGCUUUCUCAUCUUAUAUGUCUUGUCCUUGUAAACCCCCAUACGAAAUGAUCACGUCCCAUUGCCAUUUUCAUUCAAUUUGGUGUUUAAUUUUGUUAUUAUUAAUCGUAAGAGGUUAGUUUUACCCAUCUUCCUCACAUUUGAUUACAAAUAUUUGAAUUUUCAAUACCUAACCUUUUCCCAUGUCAUUUGGGAGUGGUUAUUAAAGGAUUAAAGUAACUUUGUCAAAGUAGUGGUUGUGAAAUGACAAAAUUUUGGUUUUAGUAAUAUAAUUUUGUAGAUUUAGAGGGUAUUUGGUAAAUUAACUUAAUAACUUAAAGUAACUUGAUAACUUAAUUUAAGUUAUUAAUUAAAUUAAGUAUGUUUUGUAAAAUAAUUUAAUGAUAUGGCUUAAAGUAAAAAACAACUUUAAGUAAUAAGCAAAAUAAUUAAAUUAUUUUUAAGUUUAUAUCCUCAUUUGACAUUUUUAUCCCCAUUUACCCUAAUUAUCUCCACAAUCUCUUUUACUAUUUCACGAUCUUCAUUGUUACUCGACUUCCAUUUCCCUAAUUAUAAUUUCUAAGAAUAAAUAUGUUAAUUUAAUUAUUUGAAAUAAAUUUUAAAUUAAUUUUAUCAAACAAUCUUAAUAAUUAAAGUAAGAAUUAAGUAAUAAGUUUUAAAUCAACAACUUAAAUAUAAUUUAACUUAAAAUCAACUUAAAUUAUUAAGUAAUAAGUAUUAAGUUUUACCAAACAUUCCCUUAGGUGGUGUUUGUAUUUUUUUUUUUACUUAAUUAUAAAUAGAAUUAAAAAACUAAAUAGCGUUUAAUAGUAUUAAGUAUUAAGUUAUUUAUUUUUAUAAUAUUUUAUUUUUAUUAAGUAUUUAAAAAUAAAGAAAAAACCAACAUAUUACUUUUUCUAUUUAGAAAAAAUUAAAUAUUUUGAUUUUUUUUACUCAAAAAAAUCUAUAAUAAGUCAUAAAAAUAGAAAAAUAACCCUCUUAGUUUAUAUUAAUUUCUUCUUUAACUUAAAUGAUUUUUUUUUUUUGUAGUUUUUUUUAGUGACUUUUAAAAAAAAAUGCAAAAAUGGACUUUUUGUGCUUAAGCUUUUCAAAUUAAUAGAUAUUUUUAUUAUUUUGUAUUUCAUAUUAAUAUAAUUAAAAAUAAAAAAUUGUUAAAAUAUCUCACGUGUAUAAAGGAAAUGAAUCAUGGGUAGAAACAAAUGGAAUUAUGCUAAAAUAUAAAUAAAUAAAUAAGAUAUUUUGGUUAUAUUGUAUUUUUUUUAUUGAUCACCAAUUUUUUAAACAAGAUCGGGAAUUGCAUUUUAGUCUCAUAGAAUGGCCCAAAAAGAUUAUGACACAUUGCAUAAUAAAUAGACAAAUGCAUUACGUGUGAGGCUGGUCCCAAAGGUGAUGGGGGUUGGGUAGAAUAGGACUUGCAUGUGACACCCAAAUAUCAUAUUCCCAAAAUCAGAAAAUAAAUUCCCGAAUCAAGGGAAACACUAUGAGAGAUAUGAGAGAUGAGAGAAUGGAGAAGAAGAAAGAGCAACGAAGGUGUUCUGCUACUACUGCGAGAGGGAGUUUAAGGACGAGAAGAUUCUUGUUCAGUACCAGAAGGCCAAGCACUUCAAGUGCCAUGUCUGCAACAAGAAGCUCUCCACCGCCUCUGGCAUGGCCAUCCACGUCCUCCAAGUCCACAAGGAAACUAUCUCCAAGAACUUUUGCUUGUCAUUUGCAAUUUUUUUUUUAAGACAAUUUCCAUUCAUGUGUGGGAUUGUUGGAAUUUAUAUUGGUGAAUGGAAAUUAGGAUUUUUUUUUUCUCAGAAGACAUGUUUCUUAAUAGACACAACUUAUUUUAAAGGAUGUGUCUUGUAUUUAAAAGACACAUCCUCUUCCAAAGGAUUUGUUUAACGUCUUAAGACACAACUAUAAACCCUCUAAUUUGUCUUCUUAGCAUAUGUGACACUAGGUGUCUUCUCAUACUCCUCUCUUGACUCGUAGACAUCCCUUAGUGGCCCAUCGACAAUUAUAUAGUUUCAUUUUCUAAACCACCUUCAGGGACCCUUUGUUGAGGUACUCAUUCGGACCUACAUUGUGACCUUGGCCAUCCUUUGUCCUUAGGUUAGAUCCCACUUAGGUUCACCUAGGCCCUCUUAGAUUUACUAAAGCCCACCUUGGCCCACCUUAACACACCUCAACCCAUGUUGGUCACUUUUAGGUAAUUCCUGCAUGACUUACGUAGUUCGCAUGAUUUGCAUUUUUAACGCUCAAAUAUACUUGAUUUUCUUAUUUAUUAAUUUUUCUAUUUAUUUAUUUAUAUUUAAUAUUAUUUUUUUAGUUAUUUGUUUAUUUUUCUUUAUUUAUUUACCUAUUUUCAUAAAAUAGCGUGUGGUUGGUUAUCUUGUCUCUUUUAUUACCAUGGGAACUCGGGUUAUACCAUGGGAAAUCAAGUUACUAUAAGAAGAGUGUAAAUGUGAAGUUGUGUUUGACUUAGGUGGUGUUUGUUUUUUUACUUAAUUCUAAAUAGAACCUUAAUACUUAAUAGUAUUAAAUAUUAGGUUGUUUGUUUUUAUAGUAUUUUAUUUUUAUUAAGUAUUAAAAGGUAAAAAAAAAUCAUUGUGUUAUUUUUUCUAUUUAGAAAAAGCCACAUAUUUUGGCUUUUUUUAUUUAGUAAAAAGUUUAUAAUAAGUCAUGAAAAAGUAAAAAAACAAACAACCUAAAUUCUAAAACUAAAUGGUUUUCAGCAAAAAGCCAAAAAAACAAACACCACCUUUAGUCUUUCUUUUUUUCCGACUCUUUGGGAAGAGUCCCAUUAGGAGUGUGCUAGUAGAGUCACAUUCCACUUACAAGUAGAGUCUCAUUCUGCUUACAAGUAAAGUCCUAUUUUGAUUACAAGUAGAGUCUCAGUGGGAUUGUGUUAGUGGCCUAUAAAAAUAGGUCACCCCUCACUCUCAAAUAAUUUUUUUUUUUCAAAGAGUUCUUCUAAAACUUCCAGCGUUUUGCUUCCCUCUCCACUCUUUCAUACAUUUAUUUGGAGGAAUUUUUUAGAACCCGAGUUGUACACGUCUCGCCUGUAGAGUGCACCUAAGGCGAGACUCACUGGUACCCUUGUGCAUUGAGUUCAUCUUCGAGAAUGGUGGAUCUAUUUCAAGGAUAGUGUUUGUCACACCUUAGCCUAUCACCGAUAAGUUUCUUGCUAUUCAUUUUGCUCUUUGUUCGUGUGUUUUGGGCUAGUCCUCUAUUUUCAUACCCUUAAAACAACAAUCAUGAAAUAGAUCCAAAUGGAAGCCUCUCUAGUUCACACUUGUCCUAACACCUCUAAGAUUGAUCCCUUCAACAGGACAUUGUUCAAGAGAUGGCAGGAAAUAGCUUUCUCUACAAUUGAUGUAGUGGACUUGGGACACAUUUUGACUGACCCAAAACCAGAAGAUGGUUCUAAAUCGUUGCCUACUUGGGAAAUUGGUAAUAAACAAGUUAGGCAUGAUAUUCUUAGUACCAUUUCUACAUAGUUGAUUCUUGUGAUAUUUGGCAUGGUAGAUUAGGACAUGUGAACUUUUCGUAUAUGAAGAAAAUGGUUGAAUUAAGUUUAAUUCCUAAGCGGUCCUUAGAAAACCUUGGAAAAUGUUAAUCAUUUGUAGAAUCUAAAACCACAAAGAUAUCUUGCAAAUCAGUAGAAAGAGAAUCAAAUCUACUAAGUUUAAUACACAGUCACUUAGGAGACCUAAAAAAUACAAUGACUAGAGGUGGUAAACAAUUCUACAUAACUUUCAUAGAUGACUACUCAAGGUAUACAAGUGUAUAUCUUUUGAGAAACCAAGAUGAAGCAAGAGAUGUUUUCAUCAAGUACAAAAAUGAAGUGGAAAAUCAACUAAGUAGGAAGAUUAAAAGGCUUAGAACUGAUAAAGAAUGAGAGUAUAAGUCCAACCCCUUUAAUUCUUUUUAUGAAGAUCAUGGGAUCAUUCAUGAAACUACUCUUCCUUAUUCCCACGAGUCUAAUGGAAUAGUGGAAAGGAAAAAAUAAAACCUUAAAAGAAAUUAUGAAUGCAAUGUUGGUAAGUUCAAGAGCAUCCUUGAACUUGUGGGGAGAAGCUAUCAUCUCUGCUUGUCAUAUUCAAAAUAGAAUACCUUACAAGAGAAUUGGUAAAACUCCUUAUGAGUUGUGGAAGGAUUAUGCACCUAAUAUAGCAUACUUGAAAGUGUGGGGGUGUUUAGCUAAAGUUCUUUUCCUUGAACCUAAAAAAUGAAAACUAGAAAAUGUUCAUUGGUUAUGCUGAGAAUAGUGUGGCAUAUAGGUUUCUUGUUACUAAGUCAAAAAAUAGUCUUGUAGAUGUCAAUACCAUAAUAGAAACAAAUAAUGCGGAUUUCUUUGAAAACAUCUUUCCCAUGAAACUAAAUAGUGAACAGCAAGUUCAGAAAAGAAGUAGAGAUGAGACUAUUGAACCUUCUAAAUUUGAACCUAGAAGGAGUAAAAAAGAUAAGAAACAAACAAACCUUAGAGAUGGUUUUUAAACCUUCCUAAUGGAUGAGGACCCUAGAUCCUUCAAAGAAGCUAUAACUUCUCCUGAUGCACCAUUCUGGAAGGAGGCCAUUAAUAGUGAAAUUGAAUCAAUCAUGUAUAACCAUACAUGGGAGUUAGUAGAUUUGCCUCCUAGUGUAAUGACUAUUGGUUAUAAGUGGAUCUUUAAAAGAAAGUUAAAACAAAAUGGGUCCAUAGAGAAGUAUAAAGCUCGUUUAGUUGCCAAAGGCUUGAACAAAGGAAUGAUGUAGAUUACUUUGACACAUUUACCCAUGUGACUAGAAUAACGCCAAUUAAAGUAUUGAUCGCUCUAGCUUCCAUUCAUAAUCUGGUGAUACACAAAUGGAUGUCAAGAUUGCAUUAUUGAAUGAGGAUUUGGAAAAGGAAAUUUAUAUAGAACAACCUGAGGGUUAUGUAGUUCCAGGGAAGGAAAAAAAGGUGUGUAGGUUGGUUAAAUCACUAUAUGGGUUAAAACAAGCUCUGAAACAGUGGCACAACAAGUUUGAGCAUGUGUUAGGAACUAAUAGAUAUUCCAUUAAUGAUGCUAAUAAAUGUAUCUAUAGCAAGUAUGAGCAUAACACAUGUGUAGUCAUUUUUCUUUAUGUUGAUGACAUGCUGAUUUUUGGAACUAGCCUAGAGGUUGUGUGUGAGACCAAGAAAUUCCUAGGUUCUAAGUUUGAUAUGAAAUACUUAGGAGAGGCAGAGGUGACUCUAGGAAUUAAAAUAACUAGAACACCUAAUGGGUUAAACCUUUCUCAAGAGCAUUAUACUGAGAAGAUCCUAAGGAAGUUUGAACACUUUGAUUGUAAACUAGUGUCAACUCCUUAUGAUCUCAACUCAUAGCUGAAGAAAAAUAGAUAACAAAAUGUUCCAUAAAUCGAGUAUGCUCAAAUCAUAAGGAGCCUAAUGUAAUAAAUGAACUGUAUAAGACUUGACAUUGCUUAUGCAAUAGGUAGAUUAAGUCAAUACACCCAAAGUCCUAAUCAGGACCAUUGGGCUUCUAUUCGUAGAGUUCUUAAGUAUUUGAAAGGCACCAUUAACUAUGGUUUGUGCUAUAAUGGAUUUCCAAGUGUCCUUGAAGGAUUUAGUGAUGCAAGUUGGAUCUCAGAUUCAGAUGAGAUGAAAUCCACUAGUGGAUAUGAUUUCAUUCUUGGUGGAAGUGCAGUUUCUUGGAAGUCUGCCAAGCAAACUUACAUUACUCCUUUACUAUGGAGACUAAAUUUAUUGCCUUAGAAAAUGCAAGUUCUAAGCUUGAGUGGCUUUAGAAACCUCUUAGCAGAUAUCCCUUUAUGGACGAGACCAGCCCCAUCUGUGUCUAUGCGUUGUGAUAGCCAAUGUACAAUUGCUAAGGAUAAAAGUAAAAUAUUUAAUGGAAAGAACGAGCAUAUAUGCCUAAGGCACAAUAUUGUGCAAGAGCUGCUUGAAAUCAGGGUUAUAUCCUUAGAAUUUGUGAGGUCGGAGUUGAAUUUGGCCGAUCCUUUAACCAAACCACUAAAUAAGAAACUAGUGGAAGAAACAUCGAGGUGGAUGGGGCUUAUGCCUAUUACAAAAGUCAAGGGUGGUGGUAACCCAACCUAUUAAAAUGGAAAUUCCAUAAAGUAUGUUCAUAUGGGUAAUAACAAAUCACUUGUUAACUUGAGGUGCUCUAUCAAAUUUAAUUAUACGAGAGUCUAUCCCUAUGGUGUAGAUAAAGUAUAUUCUUCAUUGACUAAGGUUGAGUGUUUACUCUUAAUGAAUACCAUAUUCCUUAUAGAUGGUAUGUUUAAAUGCAGAGCAUACUUUAUGGAUUCACCUAUAUGAGAGUGGAGGUGGUGUCGCUUCCUAUGAGAACUUAGGCAGGUUCUUUGGAGUUCUCAUGAAUAUCCAGGUAAGGCGCAUGGCCUAUUUGUGCCAACCCAUUAUGUACAACUCGUAGUGUAGUUGAGAAAAUCAAUGUUGAUAAAGGUCCCUUGAGUUACAUCAAGAAACAUUGGUUCAUAGAAAUUCAUUUUUCAUCAUGUUCUGUGAUUCAAUACUUAUUUGUCCUAAGACUGGUUCAUAGCCUUUGGGCACUAAUACUGAUGCAUUGAAUUAUUUUUUCCUCCAUUUUUUUCUUCCAUCACAUCUACUCUCUAUAGGGGAUUGUAUGAAAAGUGUAAAUGUGAAGUUGUGUUUGACUUAGUCUUUUAUUUUUUGUUGACUCUUUGGGAAGAGUCUCAUUGGGAGUAUGCUAGUAGAGUCCUGUUCCGCUUACAAGUAGAGUCAUGUUUUGUUUACAAGUAGAGUCCUUUUUUAUUACAAGUAGAGUCAUGUUCUGAUUACGAGUAAAGUCUUGUUAGGACUGUGUUAGUGGCCUACAAAAGCAGGUCACCCCUCACUCUCAAAUAAUUAUUUUUUUCAGAUAGUUCUUUUAAGCCUUCUAAUUUUUUGCUUCCCUCUCCACUAUUUCAUACAUCUAUCUAGAAGAAUUUUUUAGAACCCAAACUAUACAUGUCUCGCCUAUAAGGUACACCCAAUGAGAGAAUCACUAGUUGUUGAAUCCUGAAGGUAGGCCACUGCUACCCUAGUGCACCGAGUUUGUAUUCGAUGAGGGUAGAUCUAUUUCAAGGACAAUGUUUAUCACGCCUUAACCUAUUACCGAUAAGUUUCUUGUUAUUCAUUUUGUUCUUUGUUUGUGUGUUUUGGGUUAGUCCACUAUUUUCAUACCCUUAAAACAAUAGUUACUUCAUGGGAAAGAUAGGAUUAUGACUUGAAGGAAGUGAGAUGAAGAAGAUGUUGGAAGAGGAAAAGAUUUUUGGAGGAAAAUGACAAUUGUAUUCUUUAGGGAGUCGCGCCAUCAAUAUGGGAAGAUUGAGUUUCCAUUGAAAAAAACAAAGAUAAAAAAAUAUUUAAGAAAAAUGAUCAACAAAGACUGCUAAUUUGAUUUUGAGGGUCAUUUUACAAUAGACCGAACCAUCUAAUAACCCUUUUCUUCAAAAAAAAGGACAUCACCUUAUGACCAUACUAAAUCCAACAUUGCCAUUUAGACCACAAGGAUGUUUGUUUGCUAUUUGCACCAUAAAAUGAUGCAUGAAGUUGUAUCGUGCACCAUUUUGUGAGUUGCAAACCACAUUCUGGUAAGUUAAGAGUAAAUAAUCCACAUCAAAUUUUGGAAGCCAUGACAUCUGGGGGCUUAUUAAUACUUGAGAGGAACCUUUUCGACUUUCCGACAUCUUUGAUCAUUUAAUCCAAAUAAAAGUAAAAAAAUCAAAGAUAAUUAGCGAAUAAGGUUGUGAUAUGGUGCCUAAUUUCGGGUGUAAUAACCUUAAUUUUGAGUUAUAUAUCACAUUUGAUCGUCAAAGACAUGAGCAAUAGAUAACGGGGGUUUAGAUUCUUCCAUCCAUAUACCAAUGAUGGCGGUGAUGGUGAGAGGGUCUUGUGGCGCGCCGUCAAAGCCAUCCAAAAAGAAAGCUCCAACCUAGACUACAUCAUCUACACUGAUGACCAUGAUACUUCUUCUAACAGCUUGAUGGCUUGUGUCGUUCAACAUUUUGGUGGAGUUUUCAAGGUGAGGGUUGAAAAACAGGUUUGAGCGUGUUGGAAAAGAGAUUCAAAGUGUUGGGAGGAUUUUUCAAAAAAGAGAUCGCACACAAAGGAUGGUCCUCUUUCUAGUUGAGAGAACGACGAGCUGAAUUUUUUAGGAACAACAAUCAGAAUUUUUAGAAUGGUGGAUGUUCAGAAUUUUUUUUUUUUUUAUGGGAUAACGAUCAGAAUUUUUUCGAGGACAUCAAUCAAAAUUUUUGGAGAGGAAGAUGCAACAAAGAGCCAUUAUCCUAGCGCUCACCACCAAAAUUGUAGAACCAACUCACCAUUGACAACUUUUCUCUAUCUUCAUGCACAGGUUGAUCAAUUGACCAUUGGGACACUCUCUCUACGAGAAAACCAAUAGAACCAAUUGUCAUAUUCAUAUGAAAGAAGGUUGCCACAUGGAGGGGCUACCACUUUGAAACCAUUGUCGGCAUUAUUGAUGCUAAGCCAACUGGAGUUAGGUCCAUCUAGCUUCGUUGAAGUUAGAAAAACUUCUUCCCUACUUCGUGACUCUUAAAGAAUCCGUCUAGCUAUACUGGAGUUAGACAAGCUUGCUUCCUGCACAAAAGGAUGUUCGGACGGGUAGUUCAGACACGUCCCUUUGAAGCUAAAGUUAGACAAGAAUAGCUCUAACUAUUUUGUGGGAAAGAGUGAGUGUGUAUGUACACGCGUACCUUGUUCGUACUUUUUGGAGGGUUUAUAUAGAACUGAUGACACUACCACUAUAGUACUGACUAGACACUUUGACCUUCUUUUGUAAUGAUAAUUAUCCUGCGGGCGGCUGGACAAUUAUCAUAGUUAAGGGCAGUUGGCAGGUGCCAUUUGCUGACAUGUCAAGAUCUCAGACCAUGUAGCUAUCUGUCCACUCAGUCUGUCAACGUUUGGGAUUAUGUUGAGUCAUUAAUUGACAUGGACUUGUGGGCUAAAUGGAGUCUUGUUGGCUGCUCAAAUGUCAAGCGUGAAUGAUCAAGCAUGCCAGAGGUCUUUAAGACAUGACUAGACAAUUCUUGCCAUUUGGGAGUCCAGACUCCCAAUGUCACCUGGCCCUAUGGGGGAAAGGAACCCUCUCACUUCUAGUGCCAGACGAAACUUGUCUUGGUCUGGAUGGAACGAUCUGAAUAAGUUACACGUUUGUCCUAGACGGCCAAAGUGUUUGAGCUGGAAAAGGACACGUGGAAAGGGACCCCUCACAAUACCCCCUUAACCUAUCUACCUAUGUUCGAACACCGUCGAGUAGAGGUAGAAUGAGUUACCUAUCUUCUCAGGUUACUUAGGCACUUUAGAACACGUAUCACUUGAAGUAGCAAUGAUGGGUCGCAUCCAUCGAGGCUACCAUUUAGAAGGAGCGCCGCUUUGAGAUAUGUUUCCAAACAACUUGUCUUUUAGGAUUCCUAGGUUUUUGGGUCCUUAUAAAUAGAGGGCCCCCACACCCUUUGGAUUACUUUUUGGUUUUUCCCACUCUAGAGUUUUCUCUUCUUAGUUUCUGCAUCUUCAUUGUCGUUACGCUAGUUGCCGCUCAUUCUCCACUAUUCUCACCGUCAUUCUCAAGCUUGCUUCCGAUGUACUUCCUCUCGCUAGAGAGCACUUACUUUUGACUCUAGUAAGCCUCUUGUCAUUCGCUAUUUUUGUUGUUCACUGUUCAUUUUGGGACUACGUCGACGGUUGUUGAGUUUAGACCAAAAAUAGACCUCGUGGCAUCCAAAUUCUAAGGUUGUCUUAUGUCUUCAUUUUGGAGAAGAUGACUGUAUCGACCAUCAAAUCUAGGAUUUUCUAGAUUUCUCCAUUUUGCUUCCUCAUUGUUAAUACCUUCAAGGGUCGGUUUAGGCAUUUUUUGUCCUGCCACCGUCGUACUAGUAAAAAGGGAGCGUGAUCCUCCUUUUGAUUACUGGUCAAGAGGCUUGCUCUACAAGUUUCAUUAAAAGGUCUGUUUAGACUUGGACUUUUGGUCCAUCUAGGUUUUUUGUUGUAUAGUUGAGGCACUGCAAAACGGCGGAUGGGUCGGGUGACCAUUUCUAAUAACUUUGUUGUCCCACGCAGGUUUCCACGCUGCCCAAAGUUACUCAGCAUGUAGGCAAGAUGAGGUAUUGCUUCCACCAGUGGAGGUGGUAGGCCCUAGAAAGGUGGUCGGAGAGAUACUAGAGUAAAGUGCCUUAAAUCAAAACUUCUAGUUGAUCUUCUGUCCGAAUAGGAGUUUCGGGCACGCUUUCAUAUCUCAGACAAAAUUUCUAUCCACCUAGUAGACAACGAGGCUCUAUCCUCCAAAAACUAGUCCUAUAACUCGAUGUACUUCAGCAAUGAGCAAUUUGUUGUGAGGCUUCAUCUACUUCUUCCCUCAUUCUAUAAGCAAUUUCUCCACUUCACCUAGAUUCCUCUAGCUUUCCUUCAUCCAAAUGUUGUCCGGGUGUUGAUGGGAUGCAGCAUUAUGGACAUGCUCUUCUAGUUGGACCUUUCCUUAAUGGAAGUCUUGUUCAUCUAUACGGUGAAGAUGAGUCAGAAGGAAAGGUUUAGCCUGUCAUCCCACAUCAUUUCCCUCUAGCUAGUGACCGGACUUCCAAACUCAAACAAAGGUGGGACAAAGAGGCAUGUCCUUGUGUCCGGUCCUUGGAGGGAUCCAUUUGAGGGGCUAGACAGAGUCUUUACUCUAUAGCACUCGCUAGAGAUUCCAAGUAGGAUAUGCCUCUAUAACUUUUAUCUAUUCUUCACAAUUAUUUCUUCCUCACUGAGAACUUAUUGGUAAUCUUUCUUUUUGUGUAAUGCAGGCAAGGAUAGGCAAGGUCGUCUUGUAGAGUAGCUGGAUAAAGUUUCCUUCACCUGACUCAACAAGAUAUUCGAGAUAGACGCGUCUGAACGGAAUCAUCAGGUUCUUUUGUCAGACAAGAAUCUAUUAGCUUUGAUCAACGACCCUAAGCUAUUUAUUAUCCCCGUUUUCCCUCACGUGGCUUCCCUGUCUUUGGUGCCCGACGAGCACUUCGUGCUAAAGGACUUGCUCGUUUAUGAGGUUGCUCGUUUGGCAAAUUCAGAGACAAGUCAGGCCCGUCUAGAGUCACGGGAGAAAAAAUUUUUAGGAAAGGACGCUAAGGCAAGCUUCGACUACAAACCGUCCGGCCUCUAGCUCCACCAUCUGGCCUCUUGCUAAGAAUAAGAAAUGACUUAUUGUUUAGCCCAUUCAAAGGGCAUGGACUCCACCACCUGCACCUCCGACUUCUCCAUCAGCUUCAUCCUCAUCUCCUUCUUCAACUGCCAACACCGAGCCAGAGACAAGGGUUGAGCGGUGGUGGCUCCCAUUGUUUGUGAAUAUGAAGAAAAGGUAGACAUGGCUACAAACUUGAGGGCUGGAUUUCAGGAGAGGCAACACAAGCACCUGUCCGAAUCCAUCGUGGUUAACCUUGCUCCCUCGAAGAGAGCCUAUCCGAAGCCUAUCUACCAAGAACUUGUCUCGGCUCCUACCCCGAUGCCAAUGUCUUCAACUACUGCUGCAUAUACCAUUCCUGAAUUGGACGAGAGGCUUCCUUCCACUGAAGGCAUUACUUACCAUGAUCCAAGGAGGCCCUCCAUCGGUCCGGACCAUCUCAGUGAUGAGUCGCUUGAAUACAUGACUUUCUUUCCCUCCCAUCCAAAGUCAUCCUACGUUCCCAGCCGGGAGGAGAUAACUGAGUUAAUGAGGUAGACUCAUUUCUUCACUGAGAGAGAGAAUCCAAUACAAAAUAUGGGAGUGCUCUUUCUGGCCACUCAACAGAUCCCGGUCGAGAUAGAGAGCAAUCUCAAUCAAUCCUUCAUAGCAUGGCUCCCAUUUGGAACUCUAGACACUACCAUUUCUCGUAUCAUGCCCAUGCAAGACUAUACGACUUUUGAGACGACGGAAGUGGUAAGUCGUUUCCCUUUUCUGUUUAUUCUACCUUAGUCUUUGGUUUCUUAAUAAUUUUCUUGUUGCCCCUUUAGGUGAUAGCCGAGGUCUAAAACCUUAUAUGGCAAUGCGCUCAACUCUUCUACCAACUAGAAGCUGCCAAGAUCAUAAAGGCAUACAUUGCCUAUAACAUGGAUGACAAUAAGAAUCUCCACACCAGGUUGGAGACAACAAAGAGUGAGGUCACUACUACCCGAAAGCUCAUUGAGGAAAAAGUUGGGCUGUUGAGGAAGACAGAAGAAGGGAAUGAGGCAACUGAAGCUGAGGCUAGUCAGCUAGCCAAGGAGAUGGAGACGAUGGAGAUUAGCAAGAAGAAGGUCGAUGAGAAGGCUAGACGGCUGAGGUAAGGGCUACAGGAACUCCGGGCCGUGUUCGCUGUUCAAGAGGAAGAGUUGGAGGCUAAGUACCAGAAACAAGUGGACGACAUGUUCUUCUAUGGCUACAGGUGUUGUAUGAAGAAACAUGGUAUCGCCCAAGACACCCCCAGUUUCUUUUGGACGACGAGAAUGAAGCUGCAGGCAGCCCUGCCCAGGGUAGAAGAGAUGCUUUUGGAAUCAGUCCUUCUGGCAGGCAUGCUUGAUCUUGUAUUUGUACGCGUUUAUCCUAGUCGCAUGUGUCUUAGACGAAAAAACUUGUAAAGACGUUGGAUUUUCCAUAUUUUUUAAUAAAUCUAUUUUAUCCAUUUCUUUUCAUACAUUUUACUUUCAUAAACAAGUUUUAUUGAUAAUACAGCUUUAGGUUAGACACAUUCCAAGGGCAGAGUAGGGGUACAUCGUCUAGUGUUUGAAGAUGGUAUGCCCUUGAGUCUUUACCCUUAGUCACAACGUAUGGCCCUUCCCAAUUAGCCUGAAGCUUUUCGGCUCCUACUUCGACUAUGUUCUCGAAGACUCUUCUGAGGACUAGAGUUCAUGUCCUGAAAAAUCGUGGUCGCGUCUUUUUGUUGUAAUGAGAGAUCGCCCUCUAGCGGUAAGAAGCCAUCUGAGUAGCCACGUUUCCUCGUAUUUCAUCUACCCAAUCCAAAUGUUUUCCAAUUUCUUCAUCGUUAUCUCUUUAACCUUGGACGACCGUUUUGGCGGUAGGCAUGCCUAUUUGGGUUGGAAUAACGACUUCCAUUCCAUAGGCAAGGGAGAAAGGAGUAGCUCUUGUUGGCUAUCUAGAUGUGGUCUGAUAAGCCCAUAAGACUUCGAGCAGUUCGUCUACCCAUUUCCCUUUGGCUCAUUCCAAUUUUUUUUUUAGUGUAGCCAAUAGGGUUUUGUUUGUUGCCUCCGCUUUCCCGUUGCUCUAAGGAUAGCGAGGCGUUGAAUAUAGGUUCUUAAUGUUUAACUCCAAGUAGAAUGUUUGGAAGACAAUACUGUCAAAUUAUGAUCCAUUAUCUGCCACAAUCGCUCGUGGGUCUCCGAACUAGCACACGAUGUUUUUCCAAACGACCUUGGAAACAUCAUUGUCCUUGAUGUUGGCAUAGGCUUCUGCUUCUACCCACUUGAUGAAAUAGUUAGUUGCUACAAGUAGAAAUUUCUUUUACGCUGCUGCGACAGGUAAGGGGUCGAUUAUGCCCAUCCCCCACUAUGCAAACGGCCAAGGACAUGUGAGCGGGUUGAGAGCUUUAAAAGGUAUACGGGGAAUGGGGGCAUAUCUUUGACAACGAUCACAUAUCUUAACAUAGUUUCCAACAUCUUGUUUCAUGGUGGGCCAAUAGUAUCCUUACGUGUGAGCACGAUGCGCUAGGGUUCGUCCGUCUGGGUGAUUGCCACACACACCUUCAUGGAGUUCGGCCAUGACAUAUUUGGCUUUUAGAUCGCUCAAACAUCUUAGGUAUGGACCUCCAAAUGACCAUCUAUAAAUAUGGUCAUUGAUGAGAGUGAAGAUGGCAGCCUAUACACAAAGUCUGUGCGCCUACUUCCCGUUUUUCAAGUAAUUCUCCCAUCUUGAGGUAUUUCACAAUAUCCUGUAUCUAACCAAGGUCUGCCUCAUUGGCACUACAUACUGGUCCAGGUAUGAUUGAGGGUGUGGCUUGGAGUUGGACGGGCAGCAUUAUUGCUUCUCUUAUAGGGAGAGUGGCAGCUAUUCCGGCCAGGGCGUCCACCUUCAAGUUCUACUUUUAGGGUACUCGUCUAACAAUCCACUCAUCUAGAUUUUUUAGGCAAUUUUCCACCAUAGCGAGGUAGCGAGCCAUGCACUCAUCAUUUUCUUUGUACUCUUUCUGAAUUUGUCCAAUGAUUAGCUGAUAAUCGCUCCUGAUCUCUAGCCUUGUUGUAGUCAAUGUUAUGGCAAAGUCUAGCCUAGCUAGGACGGCUUCAUUUUCCGCUUCAUUGUUGGAGGCAGAAAAGUAGAGACGGAUGGCUUGCUCCAACAGUUCUUCAGUUGGUGAUUAUAGGAUCAAACUUACUUUAGAAUCGGACGCCUUGGAUGUUUCAUCUACAUGAAGUGUUCACCAUUGCUCCAGGGGACUCAACUAGAUGUGCUAGUUUUUGAGAGAGUUCGGCUAUAAAGUCGGUCAUAACUUGUCCCUUCAACGCUAACCUUGGCUGGUAUUUGAUUCCAUGUUCACUUAACUCAAUGGCCCAUUUCAACAUUCGUCCAGAUAGAUUUAGUUUGUGUAGGGUAACUCGGAGUGGCUGAUUUGUGAGCACAAUCACUUGGUGAGCCUAGAAGUACGGGCGAAGCUUCUAAGUGGCAUUUUUCAGGGCUACGGUCAUCUACUCCAUUCUAGAGUACCGAGUCUCUAUGUUGACCAUUGCUUUACUCACAUAAUAGACGGGAUUUUGCUAUUUGUCUUGUAUGUAUCGAAACAAGACAGCGCUAACUGCACAGUCAGAUACAUCCAGGUACAUAUAGAGUUGUUUAUCAUACUUGGGGCUGCUCUGAAUGGGCGGUUCAAUGAGGUUGCGCAUGACUACUUCAAAUGUCUAUUUGCAUUCAUCCGUCUAGCCGAAUGUGCUUGCUCCAUUGAGCGUGAGGAAGAAAGGCCUCAACUUGUCUGUGAAACAGGCUAUGAAAAGUUGGAAAGCGACUAGACAGCCUGUGAGGUGUUGCAACUCCUUUUUGCUACUCGGGGCAAGUGUUUCAAGGACGACUUUUAUUUUAUUCGGAUUAACUUCAAUUCCUCUUUGGGUCACCAUAAACCCUAGAAACUUUCCUACACAAACGCCAAAAGUGCACUUAGCAAGAUUAAGCUUCAUGAUGUAUGCCCGCAUCAAGCGGAAUGUUUCUUCCAGGUGCUGGACGUGUUCAUCUUGGGUUCCGUUUUCACAAUAAUGUUGUCAAUGUAGACUUCCACGAUUCAAUCGAUCAAGGGCUUAAAGAUCUUCCUUAUUAAUCUUUGAUAAGUAGCACCAACAUUCUUGGGCCUAAAUGACAUGACUUUGUAGUAGUACAACCCAUAUGGUGUAACAAAAACUGUCUUCUCCUCAUCCAGCUAGAACAUGGGAAUUUGGUGGUAUCCGGAGAAAGCGUCUAUAAAGGAAAGCAUCCCAUGCUCGACUGUGGCAUCAACUAUCUGAUCUAUUUGAGGUAACGAAAAAAUAUCCUUUGGACAUGAGUCAUUCAGGUUGGUGUAAUCAACACAAACUCACACUUCCCAUCAUUCUUUGGAAUGACCACCACAUUUGCCAACCAGUCCGGAUACUUGACUUCUCUGAUAAACCCGACCACUAGCAACUUGUCAAUCUCCGCCUGGAUGAUUUUCUGCCUAUCCGGAUGGAAGCGUCGAACCUUUUGUUGGACGGGAUGUGAAGAAGGUAUGACAUUGAGCCUAUGAGAGGCCAUAGAUGGAUGGAUUCCCGGCAUAUCAGAGUGAGUCCAAGCGAAGACAUCUUUGUUCCAUUGAAACACGCUUUCGAGCAGUUCUAAUUCAACCGAUGUGAGCAAGGAGCUAGUAUAGGUGAUUUUACCUGUGUCAUGUGAGAGGCUCAGUGGUUGGAGUGGAUCAGCUGCAGAUGGAUCAUUCUCCACCGAGUUCAAUAAUUGCUAUUGCUCUCUUGUAUUUGAUAAUUUUGGAUGUGCCUCUUCACUAGCUGGGUGUUCAGAAUCUAAUGCACCAAUGAGCUAGCUGGUUGCCAAAAAGGUUAAUUUGUCCAUUCUCAAUGAGGUAGCUCACCAUUUGAUCAUACGUAGAGGGAACGACUUUCAUUCUAUGAAGCCAUGCACAUCCCAUGAUGGCGUUGAAAUGGGACAAAUCCUCGACCACUGAGAAUUGUAUGUUCAGGGUGAUUGAGCUAACCUAGACAGGGAAUACAAUGUUACCCUAAGAAGUCAUCGUGGCUCCAUUAAACCUGGAUAGUAAUCGCCCUAGAUUCUCUAGGGCAGAGAGUGAGUAGUCCAUCUACUUGUAAGCUGACAUUUGUAAGAGGUCAGUUGAGUUACUUGGAUCGAUCAGAACCCUUCUCACGUCGAACCCACUUAUUCCUAGUGUUAGGACUAAGGCAUCUUCAUGUGGUUGCAAUACUUGACUAGCCUUUACAAAAGGAAAGGUUACUAUGCCGUCGACGGGGCGCAUAUUUCCUUCCAGAAAGUUGUGUUGAAAGGUGCUAAUUCUCUAUCUUAUAGAGGUUGUACAAAGCAACCUUUGCCUUUUUUGUUUAAAACUAUAUUUUUCGUCAAUGGGGCCUCCGUGGAUGUAAUUAAUGAUAGCUCUAGGAGUUGUUGAAGAUGUGGGGGCUUGGACGGCUAGGUCUUAGGUCGUCUCUCUUUGCCUGCCAAUUGCACCAACAUAUUGUUUCAGGUGUUCGACCAUGAUUAGUUUUUUCACCAAGUAGUGGAGACUUCAGCAUUGUUCAAUGGUAUGGUCGUGAUCUUUAUGAUAAGCACACAUUUUGCUCCAAUCUUAUUUAGCCGGAUCUAUCUUGAUCGAUUCUGGUCACCUGAAGUCAGACAGAUUGUAGAUCAUCAGGAGGAGUUUCUCAUAUGGGAUAUUGAAGAGGGUCAAACUAGUAUGAUUCUACUACUGUUGGCCAUCUCGCCUCUUGUUAGCUUGCUUCAAUUGUUUUAAGGGCUUAGAACUUCCUGUCUGGUCAUGCCUGGUCGAACGAUUGGUGACCAAGACUUACUGAGUAGCCGCCCGGACGUCAUCUUCAAGCAUGGAGUACUUAUUUGCUCGUUUGAACAAAUCGUCCAUCGUUGUCGGUGGCUUCUUUGCGAGAGACUCAAAGAAUGGUGUGCCUGGACAUAUGCUUGACUUGAAGAUCUGUAGGAUGGCGUCCAUGUUGCAGGAUUCCACCUCGAGAACAGCCUAUCCGAACCAUUUGAUGAAGUCUAUGAGUGACUCGUUUUCCUACAUCUUGAUGUUUUGUAGAGUGUUUAUUUUUUUCUUAUGAUGAGUUGAAUAUAAGUAGUGGCCCAUAAAGGCCUCCGAUAAAUCCCGAAAAUUGUUCACGAAAUUAUUUGGGAGACGGUGGAACCAAGAGAGAGUCUAGUCGUGUAGGCUGGCUGGAAAGAAUUUGCACAACAAUGCAUCAUUCCUUAUGUCCAAAGUCAUGAGCUGCCUGAAGUGCAUGAUGUGAUUGAACGGAUCACUUAUUCUGUUGUAUAUCGUGAAUUUUGGCACUAUGAACCCCCUUGAGGGCUCAUAGUUAAUAAUGUGAAGGUCGAAUGGCAUAGAGAUCAUGUCAUCUAACCGUCGACUACCAAAGUCGGGUGUGGCUCGAUUUGCGGGGGAUCCUCCUUAUUACUGCCUAAGUAGAUGAGAAGGCGACUCCAACAUAAUUGUUGCUACUGAGGGACUUAGACGGGCCUCCAGGGUUUCUACCAUGUCUGGUUUUCCCUCUAUGCCUGGCGUUUGAGGUCUCAAUCGGGCUCGCAUUACAUCUGAUAGACGUGACUAUUUGUCGCACCUCUUCUUUACUGAUACCUAGUUGAGUAGGUGUUUUCGUCCAACUACACCUAGCGAGCUGAUGAAAACUCCUCCUCAAACCAUGUCAUAUGAUGCCAAAUGGGAAAUCUGCAUUCCCGGGAAAAAAUGUCUCAUCAGUACGUCUUGAGGCUGUUCACUAGCUUUGCAGUUUGUCGACUUUGAGAGGGGCCCGCUAAUGACAUUGGGACAUGCAACUCUUCACUCUCUUCUUUGAGUCGCCUUGUUUGGUGAAGCAAAGACUGUAUCUACCGAUCACUCUCUCGUUGGAGUAUUUCCAUACUUACAUGCCAGGCAAAGUAGCUUUCGCUACCCAUAGCUGAUGAUCAGCUUCUAGAGAGUGUUAACUUCCUUAGUCGUUCCCAAAAACGGUGCCAAUGUUGAUGCUAAGCCAACUAGAGUUAGGUUCAUCUAGCUUCACUAAAGUUAGACAAACUUCUGCCCUACUUUGUGCCUCUUGAAGAAUCCAUCUAGCUAUACUGGAGCCAGACGGGUUUGCUUCCUACAUAAAAUGAUGUCCAGAAGGGUAGUCCAAGCACGCCCCUCCGAAGCUUAAGUUAGACAAGAGUAGCUCUAACUAUUUUGUGGGAAAGAGAGAGCGUAUGUACGCGUGUACCUUGUUUGUGCUUUUUGGAGGGUUUAUAUAGAGCUAAUGACACUACCACUAUAGUGCUGACUAGACACUCUGACAUUCUUCUAUAAUGAUGAUUGUCCUGCAGGCGGCUGGGCAAUCAUCACAAUUAAAGGUGGCUGGUGAUUCGUGCCCAACUGGUGUACUCUUGAUUCAGUCCUCAGACGAGAGUUAUCAACAAAAUUUAUAAGCUUAUUUCACCAUAUACUAGGGUAGCAUAGCAUAGUGGUUCUAGGAUCAUUCACUGGGAUGGGUUUUCAUUUCACACCUGAUAUUAGUUUAAAGAAUUGGAUUGGUGCUUUUUCUUUUCCAAGUUAGCUUUAAAAGAAAACAUAAUCUUUGGUUUGGAAAAUGUUGGUUUUAAGCUAACAAAAAAAAAUAGUAAUUGAUUUUAAUUACAAAGAAAAAGGUUUCUUGGAGUUUGAGGUCACUAGAUUCAGGCCCCUUAUACAAAAGUGGAGAUUCCGGAUCUUUCCUCGUAUUAGGGAUUUAACCUAUAGUUAUUCUCCCAAUUGGUGUGUUAUAGUUGCUUUCCAUUGAUGGUUUCAACGCUAAAUCCCUCUCACUGAUGCAUCUUACAAUGGCUCGUACCUCUCACCUAGCAUUUGCCAUUCAAGGUGAUCCUUAAGCUUGGAUUACCCUUCAAAAGCUGGCAAGAGAUAACUAAUGGAUGUCUCCUUAGAGUCCAAAAGCUUACCAAGUGUUGGCUAUUCUAGAAAAUCCUACCUUUAAACAACCUACCAGAGGCUCGCAAGAGAUAAACUAGUGUAACUCAAUGGACGGAGUCCACUUGCUGAUUACUACCAAAAAGUGCUAUUUUGUAGACCUAACUAUAAUGGUUUUAAGCACCUUUGAGUAGUAAUCAUAUUCAUUUAACCCAAUUAAUUCAUUAAGGUCCUUAGUAAUUGGUUUUAACCAUUUUGUGGCAAGUUUACAUGUUUUUAUCAGCUUAUGAAUCAAUUCAAGCAUGCCAAAUGAUGGAGGAGCUACUUGGACAAGUUAUGGUAAAGCUUUUGGAAGCUCAAAUUCAUGAAGAACCAAGCUUUGGAGCUCCAUAGCCCUUUGCCAAAGUCGUUCAAAGUAUGCAAGGAAAGAACAAUGGAAAAGAGGAAAAGCAAGCAAAGUGAAGAGAAGCAAAGAGGACAGCAGCUGCAGUAUUCUUUCACACUUUUGGAGCACUUCCUGAAGUCCAUUUUUUACAUGCUAUAUACCAUUUCAAAGCUCUGGAAGUCAAGAAUCCAACUCUUCAAACCGUGUAUGAUUUGGAGCUGAAAUGAGGAAGAUAUGGCCUUCGGAAGCCAACUGCUCUAGGUUGUACGAAAAUUUCGCACGACACAAGGUGUUAUGCGAAAUUCGCACGACACAAGGUGUUAUGCGAAAUUCGCAUAACACCUUCAAAAUUCACAUAACCCAUGCGUGGUGCGAAUUUUCCUCUGUUUUUGCCAACUCCACUUUAGAUAUUUUCCUUUGUAUUUUGUGAUGUAAUUUCCUUUCUUAUCCUUGUAACUAACCAAUCACAAGUUUUUGCUUUUGUAAAGACUAUAUAAGGGGUGGAAAUCACCUCUUGGAAAAUAUAUAGAACAUAGGUUACGUUUUACACUUAGAGAAAUAUACAGAGCUCUCUCGUUUCUCUUUUCUCUUUACUAUUUUAUUUUCUUGGAAGCCAAACAGCCUCUGAGGGCUUUUCCUCAGAGGAUGAUUGGCUAAAACUUUUAGUUUCUCAAAGUAUGGAUGUUAUGUGAUAGCUUGGAUGCAAUCCCAUGGAAAUUUCUCGCACCUAGAAGGUAAGGUAGACGUUUUUCAUUAAAGGUUCAUUAAUGCAAAGUUUGGUUUUUAUUUCCUUUGGACAACUUCCAACAGCCAAUACUUGAUAAGCUUUUGGAUUUCUAUCCAUUAGUUAUCUCCUACGAGUUAUUGGAAGGUGAGGUUUUCAAUUCCAAGUUUUGCAUUAAUCCAUUAGAACCAAUUUCAAUGGCCAUUGAAAGGUGAGUUUAUCACCUGGAAUGACUUUGAGUUGCCAAUAUUUGGUAAGCUUUUGGCUUUAGACCAUUAGUAAUCUCUUACGAGCCAUUCAAAGGAAGUCUAAGGUGAAUAACCAUUGAUGAAAUUCACUACCAUCUGUUUUGCCAUUUUAAAGGAUUAAAACUUGAUUUGCUAAAUCCAUACCGGUUCGGGAAGCAAGCAUCACCAUAGUUGCAACCCCAACGCGAGGAGCCUAUCCUGAGAUUUCCAAUUUGCAUAAGAGCCAGAGCAUAGCUAUCCUAUCUUUGAGAAACUUGUUUUUACACCCUUUCAUUUUAGUCUUUAAUGUUAGCUUAGAUUAGUUUAAAUCUUUCUAAAACAUUUACAUCUUCUUUUAAAGCUAACAUCCAUAAGAAAAUCACCUAUUUUCCUAAUUUGAAUAUCACUUAUGUUUGCGAAAACUCUUCCCAGUGAACGAUCCUAGAACCACUAUGCUAUAGUAGCUUGGCUACUUUAGUAAUAGUAUUUAAGGUAUAAAUUUUGUUGAUACGCCUUUAAAGCUAAGCUACCAUGAGUCGAAUCACUUGCUUUACCAAGUGUUGGCCCAGGUGAUUUUAAGUCAUUUUAAGUUAACUAAAAAUAUAAAAAUCAUUAACGGGUCACAACUUCCUCUUCAUUAAAAACUAAAAAAAGGAAAACUCCCACUUUUGUAGUCGGGUCCCUUACCUAGCUCCCUUCCGUCCAAGAGACAAAAAGUCUAACCUCUCAUCCUCUAAGAAAAUAUCUUUAGAGGUUGUUUGGUUAGAAAGAAAAAUACAAUCAAAACGAGUAGGUAAGGUAGAGCAACGCUCUGUAUAUUUCUUACUAAAACAUGUCAAGUGAUCCUCCUCUCCAAUGUCUUCCCCUCUUCAAAGAGACGAGAGAUAUCAAAGAUAUAUGAGAGAUAUAUUACAAGGAGAUAUCUUAGGAUAUAUAUAAAGAGAUAUUUUCAACCUCUUGAUUAGAUAUCCUAAAUAUCUUAAAAGAUCUUCAACUGAUUACAAGGAGAGAAUUUAUAAUUACACCAAAUAUCUUAAGGUAAAAAUCUAACGAAGUCGGUGUAAAAUAUCUAAAUAUUACAUUUUCGCAUCGGAGAAAAGUGAUGCAAAAAUUUUUGCAUCGAAGAAAGGCAGUGUGAAAAUUUUCGCAUUAGAGAAAGUUAGUGCGAAAAGUUUCACAUCGGGGAAAGUCAGUGCAAAAAUUUUCGCAUCAGGGAAUGUCAGUGCGAAAUUCCUUUUUAGCUUUAUGCAGUUGCCUUCAAAUGGUCAUAACUUCUUCGUUUUAGCUUCGAUUUGCACACCGUUUGAAGCAUUGGACUCCUGACUUCCCAAGAUUCGAAAUAAUAUAUAGUAUAUAGACAAUAAACUCCAAGAAGUGCUCCAAAUUUUCCUUGAAACUGCUGCUCUUUUGAAUUUUGCAUAACAUGUGAAGAUUUCGCAUUACCAUGUGAAAUUGCUUCAUGAUGGAUUUAUUUCUCUAAUCCUCUUCCUUUCAUCUCUUGAUUUUCUUGGAAGCUCAUUCCCAAGGGUUGCACAAAAUUCUCCCUCAUUCUUGGCUUGCUUCAAUGAUAAAAAAGCUACCAAAAACACCAAAACUAGCCAAAAAUUGAUUAAAAACAUUUGCAAGGUUCCUUAACUUGCCAAUUGAGUUAAAAGGUAUUAAUUACUACUCAAAAGUGUUUAAAAUAGUUUAUAACAAGCUAUAAAAAAUGCACUUUUUGAGUAGUAAUCAGCUGGCAAGUGCCAUCUGCUGACGUGCCAAGAUCUUGGAUCGUGUAGUUGUCUGUCCCCUCAACCUGUCGACGUCUGAGAUUAUAUGCAGCAAUUAAUUAACAUGGACUUGUGGGCUAAAUGGAGUCUCGUAGGCCACUCAAAAUGUCAAGCGUGAAUGAUCACGCAUGCCAUAGAUCUUUAAGACUUGAUGGGACAGUUCUUCCCGUUUGGGAGUCCGAACUCCCAAUGCCGUUUGGCCUUGUGAGGGAAAGGAACCCUCUCACUUUUGGUGCCAGACGGAACUUGUCUUGGUCUGGAUGGAAUGAUCCGGAUGGAUUACAUACUUGUCCUAGACGACUAGAGUAUCUAAGCUGGAAAGGGACACGUGAAGGGGGACCCCCCAUAGGCAUUUCUUCAUCACAAAGGAGCUUCAACAUGUACCGCUUCAUGGGAACACCCAUAGGUGAGUUUUUAUUUUUAUUUUAUAGGAAACUUUGGUAUUUGGAUCCAUGAGGGUCAUAUAUGUAGUGGAAGAUUGACAAUUGUUUUUUUUUUUUAAUAUAAUAUAGAGUCAUGAAUGUUUGGAAGCUAGUGCCUUGGCUUUUUUUAGAGAAAAAAAAAAAGUAAGAUUGCUGUAUAUACACAUGGCCAUCCAUGCGAUGUUUCAAGUGUGUUAGUAGUUUGUUUCAUUGAAUUAAAAAUUAAAGUGAAUGUGGUGGGUCAUGUUGUUAUUGGUUUACAUUCUUAUAAAUUUAAAAUGAAACAAAUGAAAACUAAUAUCCAUGUAGCUUUAUAAUAUUCAUAAAAAUUUAUUUAUUUAUUUAUUUAUUCAUUUUUAUAAAUUUAUUUGUUUCAAAUUUUGAAUAUCCAUGUUAGUUUAUACUUUUCAUAAAAUCAUUUUUUGUUAAUUUUAAAUAUCUAUGUUAAUUUAUAUUGCUCCUUGAACUUUUAGUUUGUAAUUUUGGUCAAUCCAUGUUAAUUUGUGUUUUCCUUAAAAUUAUUAAUCGUUAUUUUCGUUGAUCCAUGUUAAUUUUUUGUGGUCCUUUGAAUUUUUAGUUUUUAAUUUGAUGGCCUAUGUUAAUUUUUAUAUACCUCUGAGCUUUUAGUUGAUGAUUUUAAUAACCUAUGUUAGUAUAUAUUGCUUCUUGAAUUUUUAGUUUUUGGUUUUGGUUGAUCCAUGUUGAUUUAUAUUGCUCCUUGAAUUAUUAAUUAAUAUUUUGGUUGAUCCAUGUUGUUCAAUAGUUUUCUUUAAAUCUUAGGGUUUUAGUUUUUAUUUACCUCUUAUUAGUUUGUGAUUUAAAUAUCCUUAGAUGUUAGUUUUUAUUAUUUUCCAAUUAUUCAUUCUUAUUGAACCUAAAUUAGUUCAUGUUUUUAUUAUCUCUAGCAUUAGUUUGGUUGUUCCUCAUUAAUUUAGGUUUUAAUAUCCCUAGUUGUUGACUUUUUUUUAAUAUUUCAUGUUAGUAUAUAUUCUUAAUAAUUUUAGGGUUGGUUUCCAUUAAUUUAUUUUCUCAUGUUUUGAUAUUCUAGUUGUCAUUUUUCAAUAUUUCAUGUUAGUACAUGUUCUUAAUAUUUUAAGGAGUAGUUUUCACUUAUUUAAUAUCUCGUGUUUCAAUAUUUCAUACUUACUAGUUUUCGAUAUUUGAUUGUUAGUGCAUGUUCUUAACAUCUCUAGGCUUAGAUGCCAUUGAUCUUGUUAUUCCGUUAUUCUUAAAAUUUAUUGUUGGUAGUUUGAUGUUAGUUUUAUAAACUAGAUGUUAGUAUAUAUUUUUAUUUUUUAUUCUUUUUUAUGUUCAGUUUCCUUUACCCUUGAUGCAAUUAAUUUAUGUUAGUUUAAAAUUGUUUUUAUCAUUGUUAUUAUUAUUAUUGUUGUUGUUGUUGUUGUUGUUGUUAUUAUUAUUAUUAUUAUUAUUAUUAUUAUUAUUAUUAUUUGUUAACCCAUAUUGAUUUUUUUGUUGUCCUUUGAUCUUUUAAUCUUAGGUAUUGAUAAUCCAUGUCAUUUGAGUAUUAUUAGAUCAUUUUCAUGCUAUGAGAGUUCUCAUCUUUAAAAUUUUGGUAGUUUUAAGGUGUUAAAUAUUCUUAGUAUUAUUCAUGAUAAUUUUAUGUUAAAUAAUUUUUCUUAAAUGGCAGUAAAUUAGUUUCAGGAUGAUUUUUGGUUAUUUGUUUGAUAUUAGUUAGAUUCAUGUUAUUUAGAUUAUUUGCAUGCCAUUAAAAGUCUUAUCCCUUAUAGUUUAUUAAUUCUUAGGUUUUAAUCUUCUUGUUUUAGUUUCAUGUCAUUCGAUAAUUUUCCAUGAUAUUGAAAGUUCUCAUCUUAGAAAUUUAGUAGUUUUUAGGUUUUGGAUCCUCUUGUUAUUAUUCAUGUAUUUUGAUUGUGUUAUUGUAUUAAACGUUGUCUUUUUUGGAAACUCGGUAGUCUUAGGAUUUCGAUCCUCCAAUUAUUAUUCAUGCAAUUUGUUUGUGUUAUGAAUUAAAAAUUUUAUCUUGGAAAGUUUAGAAGUUCUUAGGACUUAGCCUCAUUCUUAUUUUAGAUUCAUGUUAUUUAUUUAUAUUCAUGCUAUUUAGAAAUAUGGUUGCUCAUCUUUUAAAGCUCGUUUUUCUUUUAAGACGUAGUUUCUUGUUACCACUCAUGGUAUUUAAUUAUUUAUUUAUUUUGAAAGCAUAUUGGCUUGUUUGGGACUCGAAUCUCCUUAUUAAAAUUCUUGUUUGAUCUUUUAUAUUUGAAAGCAUGUUAUUUUUUUGUGAUUUAGUUAAAAUUCAUGAUGUUAAUUGUUUAUCUUUCAAAGAUUGAUUUUUAGAAAAGGAUUUUUAAAAAUUGACAUUUUGAAUUAAGUCAAAAUCACUUCUUUUCUUUCAAAAAAUGAAUUUUUCCCCAUAAAUGAUGUGGCUCCUUGAUCCCAAAUGAAAGGUAGCCAAUAAGGCAAUGCAUGUUGAUAAUUCUUUUGUUUUCAAAUCCCUUUUAAAUUAGAAAUAAAAUAAAGUAAAAUAAAAACUUCAUUUUGUGUCCAAUGUUUUGGAUUCAUCAAAUCACAUGGUUUCUUUUGCUUUCCUAAAAUCAUUCUCAAACGAAUUUAAAUCUUUUUUUAAAAAAAAAAAAAUCUAUUCUGGGUUUUUAAGGCUAAGAUCUCACUUUGUUUUAAACAAAAAAAUAUAUAUGUAACUUAGUUUUAUCCAGAUUGCAUUCCUUUUUCUUAGUUUUCUAAAACUUUAUUUUCUUAACAUAGAUUUAAACUUGUGCUCCCAAGCUAGUAGGAAUACACGGGUGAAUCUUAUGAAUAUUAAUUGGGGAUUCGAUGGGACCCCAACAUAAAAGAAUAUUUUCAAAACUUAUUUUUGUUGCCACUUUUUCUACUUGUUAUAAUCAUAGCCGUCAAUUUUUUAGGAAUAAUAUGCAAGAUGUAUGUGAAAAUUGAUGACUUUGUAUACUCUAAUCAUUUUUGUUAUGCUAUUUAGAUACCAAGCAUCCUAGGAUUUCUUUCUUUUAUUAUUUAUUACUAGAAUUUUGAUCUAACCUUCCAUGUCCUAUGAAAGCGCAUUAUAAGUUAUCUAUGUUAUUCAGGUACUCAUCUUACCUUCGCAUUUUAAUUCCAUAAAUUAUGUAUUGCUUUAUAUAUGAUCAUUACGUAUUGCUACGUAUGUGAUUGUCAUGUUUAGCUUAUUUUUUUUAUUGUUUGUUUGGUUUGUCAUGUUUGAUUAAGAGACUAGGGUAAAAUGCAUGAUGUGUGUUUAUUUUCUAAACUGACCAUUGAUGUCUUGUGAUAGUGCUUAAGUUGCGAUUCAGGCAUGCAAUACAAUCCUUUCUUUAUGAUUGUGUUUUGAAUUCCUGUUUGGCUUGUAAGUGUUGAUAGAUUUUAAAAAUCACCUUAAUCCAUCUAAGUAUCCAUAAUCAACUGACUAAUUGUCAUAUUUCCAUCAACUUAGCUAGUAGAGACCUCUUUAAGGCUUAAAGGGAUGCUACCUCUUUGGAGGUACCUUCCCAAUAGGUAACCUAAUCCCCAAACCCAGACUCGAGUUUUUCGUAGAUAACUUUUUCAAAAGCUAGGAGUCAUUUUAAGGGUUUUGUUCUUACUUGAUUUCCCCUUUUAAAAUUAAAUAAAUAAAAGUAAGUUGUGACUUUAGUUUUUUUUUUUUUUUCGUAAAAUGCAAUGUUUCCGUAAACAAAAGUGAGUCUCGCCAAUCGAGUGGGGAUGUAUUGUGAAAAAUGUGGGUCCACAACAACCCUUCAAGGAAUGUGUCUAGUAUUUUAAAGACAUUUCUUCUAAAGGUCACCUUCAAAUCUAUAAACAAACAUCUCUUCUGAAUGAAUAUUCAUCCAUUCUCUCCAAUCUCUCUUUUAUUGUCAUUCAAGUCCUCCUUAGCUUCAAGUCUAGUCAUUUCUCUUUUUUUUUUACCAAAUAUUUGGUAUACAAGUGAGUACAAAUCACCAAGUGAUUCACCAUUUUUUUGUGAUUUGAAGUGUUACUAUCGCAAAAAAGUGACCAUUGUAUCUUGGGAGACAAUUGUCAAUAAACCAUAAGCACCUGAACGGGAAAAAUUCAUCUUAAGGACAUAGAGUCAAACUUUAGCCUCGAUCAACCUUAUUUGUGAGUUUCAAUUUCCUACUUAUUUUAUUUAUUUGUAUAUCUACUAUACACACUUAUUAUCCAUAUAUUUUCAGUGAUUGGACUACAACUUUUAAUCGUAAAUAGAGAUUUCUUCUCCAAAUAGGAUUUUAGGAGAAGAAAUUAUGUUUAUGGAAAAGUUUUUACUAUAAAAAAUCAAAUUUAAUGUAGUAGAUCUUGACUUAUCAUGUUUGAAAGUCUAUGAUUAUUGAUAAAAAAAAAAAAUUAAUGUUAUUUUUCUUUUAAUUACAAGUCUGUUAUAUAUAAAAAAGUUAAUAUUUAAGUAUAAAACCUUUUAGAAAUGUAACUCAACUCUAUUUAUGGAAUAAUUUUAAAUUUUCCUUUUAGCGAAAGUUGAAAUAAACAUAAAAUAACUACUUUUAUUAUAAGUUGAUUUUAUGUUUGGAAUAGAAUGCUUUUAUUAUAAAUAAAGAAUAAUUAAGAUAUUUUAAAAUUUUAGUUAAAUAAAACUUGUUGAAUACACAAAUAUUUUCUCUCUUUACACCCAUCUUAUUUUAAUUUUAUUUUUUUUAUAGUAAAAAUGUGAAUGUCUUUUUCUUCAUCAUCCUUUUGAUGCUCAUGUCUCAAAUCUUAAUUAGCUUUCUUAUUCACUUUUCUUCCCCUUUCCUUUAUUUUAUUUCAAUUUUCUUUUAACUAAAAUAGAAAAACAACUAAAAAAUAAUAAUAGUUGGCGUGCAACCAUGACUAUUGUCGGUAUAGAUAGAAAAGAAUUGGUGGAUUAAAUAACCACUAAAUUAAUCAUCAAAACUUUAACUUUUUAACUCAAUAAAAUUUAGACUUGACAAACAAUGGGUCAUACACAUUGAACAAAUGUUAUGCAAUUCAAAAAGUGAUAUAUGGCAAAAUUUGAAAGGCCACAAAAUCAAAUCUUGUAAAAUAAAAAUAAAAUAAAAUGAUUAAAGUAAAAAAGAGAAUUAGAAAAAGAUACUCUCUUGUUAGUAAAUUUCUGAAAUGAAAGAAACAAAUUGCUUAAUUGAAGUCAAAAGAGAAUUGUAAAGAAAUAUUCUCUCGUUGAUAAAUUUUUUAAAUGAGGGGACACAAAUUGCUAAAUCAAUCAAUCAAAUCCCUUAAAUUGAGUAAUCAACUAUUGGGGAUUCCAAAUUUAAUAUCUUAACUUCACCUAUAAAUAAAUAUCAACUCCUUCAAUAUAGGGGAUUAAAAAAAUAAAUAAAUAAAUAAAUUUAAGAAGAAGACAGAGAAAAAAGGAUUCUCAAGGAGAAAAAUGUUUCACAAUAUGCCCCCUACAAGUCCAAAAAAAGCACAUGAAAAACUACAUACAUACUUUUCACCAUUCUCAAAGUUCAAUAAAGUCAUUUAGAAACAAACUAUGUAAGACUCUCAAUUGAACUUUAAUUUCAAAGAAAUACUUACAUCGUCAUUCACUAGAUUAUGAUUAAAACAAUCAAAUCAAAGGAAAAUUUUCUUUACAAAGAAUAUUAUAAUGGAGAAUUAUACCUCAUAAUUUUUCUAAUUAGGAAAAUUUAGGUAGGUGUAUUUAACAACUCAUUCAAAAAUAAAUUUUAUCCCUAAAAAAUUAAUAUACAUUUAUAGGAGCACUAAGUGACAAAAUUCGAAACUAAUGGAGAUUUAAUGCAAUUUUAUGAAGAUUAGACUGAACGAGGACCGGAUUGGUCUAGUUCACCACAUCAAGCCAAAAAUGAGUUGAAUCGACAUUAAAUCGGUCCAACCACUAGGUGAGUUAGCUCAGCCAAUUCAAGAGCUACACUUUACUCCCUUUUUUCUUUUCCAAAACUCACCUAACGGUCCAACACAUAUAAGCCCAUAGUUAAUUUGCAUGAAUGACAAGUUUAUAUAGUCUACUUUUGCUUCAUGCUUUUUCAAUGUAGAAUCAAGUGAAUUUUUGUUUUUCGAGACUAAAUGUCAUGACCAUGGGAUUUGAACAAAAGAUGGAACACCCAAGUUAUCCUUACAUGUUUGCAAAGAAAAGCAUUUGAAAGUGAUUGCUACUCAAAAAGUGCUAUUUGAUAGCCUGUAAUUAACUCUUUUAAACACUUUUGAGUAGUAGUUAUCACCUUUGAACCCAAUUAACAUAUUAAGGACCCUUGCAAUCAAUUCUAAUCAAAUUGUGUUAAGUUUUGGUGUUUUGAUAGCUUUUUUAUCACCAAAGCAAUCCGUGAUUAAGGAGAGUUCUUUGGAAUCCAUAGCAAAGCAAUGGAAAGCUCAUAAACAUGAAGAACCGAAGCUUUGAAGUCCUUUUCCAUAAGCAGAUUCGGAACGCAAUGAGUAAAAGAUGUCCGGACAGGAUGGCAGCGGAAGUCAAUGAUCCGGACAACAUAUCCGGAUAGGAUAUGUUAUCGUCCGGGUAUGAUGUUCACGAGUGCCGUGUGCUUUUCCCUGAGGGAGUCCGGAUAAGGGGAGCGCGCCACAUGUCCUCUUGGGGAAUUCGGAUGGUGUUGAUCCGGAUAGCCUUGCGCUCUCCAUGUCAUCCGAGAGAGGGGUCCACUUACGCAACAUAGCUCAUUCCACCCGGGGAAGAAUUCUAUCCGGCCGACUUUCCACCUUCUCCGGACAUUUCAUAUCCAGAAUUCCGUGCGCCGACAUUUUACAUCCGGAUGUGAGCCGUGCGCCGACAUUUUGCAUCCGGAUGGGAGAGGAGGACGUUUCAGCUUCUCCGGUCAGACAUAUCCGGAUCCACUGAUAGCACUUACCAAGAGAGUUUUUCUCUCAGUAUACAGUGCCACGGUGUUCUCCUGAAGCUUCCUGAUAUUUCCGACCGACAUCCUGAGAUAUUUUGCUUUAGAUAUUUGUUAUCUAAAUCCCCAAACUCUCCUUGUAAUCCACCUAUCAUAGGAUUCCUUAGUCUUUAAGUAAGAACAAAGGGGUGAAUAACCUCAUAUAUAUAGUUUGUAAUUUUCUUUACAGAGGAUAAUUAUGUAAUCGACGGAAGAAAGAAAUAUAUUUCAUAGAGCACUUGCUCUGUUUUUCCUUCAUAUAAUUGUUUUCUCGUUAGUUUUCUUAUUAGACAAACAAGCUUUGAGGAAGUUUCCUCAGAGAAUGAGUGGCUAGACUUUUAGUUCCUUGGAGUUAAGGUUGCCAGGAAAGGUUCCAAGUGCAAGAAUUAGUAGCUUUGUGGUUUCAGUCAUUAAUGAAGAGAAAGUGUGAUCCUUUAAUGAUUUCUAUGUUUUUAGUUAACUUAAAACACCUUCAAGUCACUUGAGCCAACACUUGGUAAGGCACGUGAUCUCCGUCCAUGGAGAUGCACUAGUUUACCUCUUGCGAGCUUUUGGGAAGUGACUUGAAGGUAGGAUUUUCUAGAAUUGCCAACACUUGGUAAGCUUUUGGACUCCAAGGAGACAUCCAUUAGUUAUCUCUUGCGAGCUUGAGAAGGGAAGUCCAAAGUUAAAGAUCACCUUGAAUGGAAAAUUCUAGGUGAGAGGCACGAGCCAUUGCAAGUUGCAUCAGUGAGAAGGAAUUAGAGCUGAAAUCCAUUUAAAGGAUACAUCUGUACAGCACCGGUUAGAGAAUUGACUAUAUGUUAAUUCUCUAAUGCGAGGAAAUGAACCAAAUGACCAGAGCUCUGUUUUUGCAUAAGGAACCUCCCCUGUGAACCUAAACCUCCAAGGAAUGUUUUUCUUCAUAAGUAAUUUCCAUUACUUUCUUUUCAGUUAGCUUUAAACAAAACCUCAUUUAAACAAAGUUUGUGUUUUAUUUCUUAAGCUAACCUUGAAAUGAAAAAGCACCAAUUUACUUUGAAUUGGUAUCACUUGUGAGUUGAAAACCCUUCCCAGUGAACGAUCCUAGAGCCACUAUGCUAUAUUAGCUAAGCUAUCCUAAUGCAUGGUGAUAUAGGUUAUAAAUUUUGUUGAUUACUCUCUCAAUCAAAGAGCACCAGCUAGACAUGAAUCAGUUGAGACACCAAUUGGGAACGAAUCAAAUGGCGCCAUUGCCGGGGAAGGUGCCAACUUCAUAGUGAUAUUAUUUCAGGGUACUUGUGGUUGUCAUCACAAGUUUGGUGAGUUUUCUCUCAUUUUACUAACUCUUUUAGUUUUUUUUCUUUUACUCGUUUAUAUUCUAGCAUAGUUUUUAAUUUAGUUUUAGUUAAUCGAACUCUUUUUGGUAGUUUUGUUUUUGUUUUCCUCUGUUUUUGUUUUUUUUUUUCUUUGUUACAGUUAAUACUAGUUGUGUAUGCCAAAGUGGAUACGAGAUUGUGGAGGAAGGCUUGUUAAACUUGAAACACCUCAUAACAAGGAGUUGGAAGUAAUCUUGAACAUCAUGGAAUCAAAAAGCUAUAUAUACAUUAUUGAAAAUUUUAAAAUGAAUAUAAAUAUUUAUGAUUUAUCUAUAAUAAAUAUGGGAAUAAUAUAAAUAAAAAACUAAUAAUUUGAAGAUAAUAAAAUGUAUAGCAAUUGAAAUACAAACAAAUUAAAAUAAUAAAAUCUUUUUAUCUUAAUAAAUAAAAGUUACUCAUUUAAUAAAACAAAAAUUACUAAUAAUUUAAUAAAUCAUUAAGUUAUCCUUAUCAUAUUUUAAGCUAUCAAUAUUAACAAUAAUAAAAUGAUGAAAUGUGUUUAAAAUUUAAUUACUUAUUUAUUUUCUUAUUUUGUAUAAUUGUUUUUAGUUUUAUUAAUAAUGCAAUUUAUAUAUUUAUGACAUCAUUGGUUUAAUCAUUUCAACCAUCGAUUUGAUCAGGGAAUUGUGAACUAAUAAUUUUUCCAAUUUAAUGAUUAAUCCAACUUUGAAAACAUUAUUUUAAUGUAUGUACACUAAACCUUAGCGGAUGUGAUUGAAAUUAACUCAUACAAACAAUUUUGUUCGUAUAUAUUUCUAGUUCUUUUACUUAUGUUUAUAUGACUUUUGAAAUUUGCACAUAUAAUUGCUAUUGAUAGCAUUUGGAUAUGCAUUCUAACCUAUUGGUCAUGACUAAGCAAAACCACUAUAAACAACCAUGACAUGAGUACCAACAAAGCCAAGUCACUCACCCUCUUCAUAUAGUUUUUAUUUUUAUUUUUAUUUUAUUUUUAUUUUUAUUUUUGUUAAUGUUUGGAUAUGAGAAUAAGGAAAAAAAGACAAGACAUGCAAGCAAGGGAAAGGAAAAGUAAUGGGAGGGAUAAAAGAUUCAUAAUAAUGAUAAGGGCUUAAGUAUGGUACAGAUAAGACCUUUUUAGUACCAAUUAGUGGGUAUCACAUAUGCACUGGUUCAUUGCUUUGUUCUUAGCAUCUCAUUAUUUUGUAUUGUGACCUCCCAAGUUGGAUCAAACUAUGCAUCACUUUCCUCCUCAAGAUCAAAAAUCCAAAAAAUAAAAAAGAAUAGGUCGAUUAGACAAACCUUUCUUCAAUAAUCAAGUUAACCAUGAGGUUAAGUGAAAAAGACAUAAAAGAUUAAAUUGUUUUUGUACCUUAUUUUGGUGUAUUAAUUAUGAGAAGUUAAUAAAUGGAGGCAUCAAUUAUAUAUUAUACCUUCAAUGAUUUCCAUUAUCAAUAUCUUAAAGGCUCUAAUCAUUAUGCAAUAAUUAUGGAAUGACAUUUAAGGUUUUGGUCAUUACAUGAUUAAUAUGUGAGUCAUUGUCAUUACAUAAUUAAUGUAUAGGUUAUCAUUUAUACAAGGUCGUAUUUUCAAAUACUGAUCAUAUUUUAUGAGUGGUAGUCAUUCCUAAAUGUGAUCAAUGCUUUUUGUGAUAUGAUGAUGAUAAUGAUCUAUUAUUGUAGUGAGGUGGGUCUCAUGGGACCUCAUGACAAGCAUUAUAUGGAGGUAGCACAUUGCUUUUUUUACUUUGCUACAUGACAAAGGAUUUUCAUAUCGCUACACUUCCUAUUUUACAUGUGAACUAAUUAUUUUAUAUUUUAGUUCCAUUAUUUUGUAGUUGAGUCUUAUUACAGGCAUUACAUUUUAAUCUCAAUGAUCUAUAUAAUGGUUACAUGUGUUUAUAACAUGGGUCUUUAUACUUUCAUUUAGUGACUCAGAUUUUAUUAUAUACUUAAAUGAUUAAGAUUAAAUUUUCAAUAUCAUAUCAAAUAUAAACCCAAUAUUUUUUUUAUAAUAAUAAAUUUAUUGAAGAAAUGUAUGACUGAAUAUUAGAGAUUGUGGCUCUCAAGUUAACACUAAAAAAACUAUGCACAUAGAAAAUUUUAGUGUUAAAAAACUUGAGGAGAAUUAUUUCCAAUUGGUGACAUGUGUUAGGUAUAAAGUUGCUUUUAAUAAAAUUGAUAACUACAUUACUUAAAUAUAAUACCUUAUUGGUAAUAAUAGUAAAGGUUUAAUUAUGACACCAAAUACUACUUUUUUUGGUAUCAUAUAAAAAAGUUAUCAUCAACUAAGGGUAUCAAAUGUAUGCAUGUUGAUCCUAUUACUUUGUACUUGAUAUCUAAUUAGUUAUACUUUAUAUACAUAAUGAUCGUAUUGGUUUGUAUCUUGGUUCAUUACUUUUCAACAUAUGAUACCUAGAUUUCAUUAUUUUAUACUAAGUGUUUCAUUGUUUUAUACCAUAUAUGUGAUCUCAUUGAUCCAUACCUUUGUUCCAUUAUCUUGUACCAUGUGAUAGCUCAGUUCCCUUGCUUUUGCUAUGUAUUACAUGGGACUUUGGUUCCAUUAUUUUGUAUUCAAUUGUGUUAUUAUUUUAUAAUUUAUAUAUAAUUCUAUUGUUUUCUACCUUAAUUUCACUAUUAUUAACUGUGAAUAACAAUCUCAAUAAAAAAGUUUUCUAUGAUAUGGGAUCUAUAUUAUAUAUUAAAUUUAUCAUAGAAGGAAGAUAAUUGCUCGCCAUCUAAUGCUCAAAAAAACUUAUGCAUAUGAAAGAUUUUCGUGUCAGAAAAUUAGAGAUUUUUUUUUUCUAGAAUUGAGUCAAAAAGGUACAUGUGUGACAUUUAAAUUUAUGAUUGAGAUAAGACCAUUUGGAAUUAGAGAAUUGAUCGAUGUUCAAUUAAUAAUGCAGCAGUGUUGAAAUUCAGUGGAAUUAAUUUAGUUACUAUUGAAUGGAUGUCUCACAAAGUGGACUAAAUUUUAUCGAUUUGAUUGAUUCGAAAAAUUCAUAUGUUUAACGGAUUUAAUAUUGGUGAUUAAUUAUAUCAAUUCGAAAAAUUACAUACUUCUUACAAUCAUUCAAUAUUAAAUUAUAUUGUUUAUUAGGGAGGAUUGAAGAGAUCAAAGAAUGCCAAGGAAAAAAAAAACAAUGACACACGCCCACAGGCUAAGACUUCAACAUUAGCUAGUGAUUUAUUCUAUAUUCUAUGUCAGCCAUGACAUCACCUCCAUUAUUCUUCUCCAAGCCAAAACCACAUGCUGAAGAUCUAUAUAUAUAUCUGAAUCAUCCGGUGUUUAAUUCCACUGAAAGUAAGAAAAUUUCUUAGAAUUUUCUCUGUUAGCCGUAGUAUUAGCUAGUGAUGAUGAAGAAAAUAGAGCUUAUUUUUGUCUCUGUCUCAGCUAUAGGACAUAUUGUAUCAACUGUGGAGUUUGCUAAGCUUCUUGUUGGUAGAGAUGACCGCUUCUCAGCCACUCUGCUCAUCAUGAAGCUACCUUUUGAGGACUCUGCGGCAACCAACUAUAUCCAUUCAGUUUCUGCUUCCGUUUCCGGGUCCAUUCGAUUUGUCCACCUUCCUGAACUCGACUCAGAUUCAUCAUCGUCAUCCACUAGUAUCUUAUUCUCUAAUAUCAUUGAAAGGCAGAAGCCUCUGGUGAGGGAUGCAAUUCACCAUCUCACUCGGUCUGAGUCAGGUCGACUCGCUGGGAUUGUGGUCGAUUUGCUUUGCACUUCCAUGAUAGAUGUAGCUAAUGAAUUGGGUGUUCCUUCCUACGUGUACUUCGCCUCCAGUGCGGCCUGCCUUGCUCUCAUGUUUCAUCUUCAAACCCUCAAGGACCACCAGGGCUUGGAUGUUACUGAGUUUGCUAACUCGGAUGCUGAGUUGGUGGUCCCGGGUUUUGUCAACUCGGUUCCUGCUCGAGUCUUGC